GCCUAUCAGAAGGUUGGCAGUUCGAAUGCCCGCAACAGCGUGAGCUCCCAUUGCUCUGUCCCAGCUCCUGCCAACCUAGCAGUUUGAAAGCAUGCCGGUGCAAGUAGAUAAAUAGGUACCGCUGUGGCAGGAAGGUAAAUAGCAUUUCCAUGUGCUCUGGUUUCUGUCACGGUGUUCUGUUGUGCCAGAAGCAGUUUAGUCAUGCUGGCCACAUGACCCAGAAAGCUGUCUGUGGACAAACGGCGGCUCCCUCAGCCUGAAAGCGAGAUGUGCUCUGCAACCCCAUAGUCGCCUUUGACUGGAUUUAACCGUCUAGGGGUCCUUUACCUUUUACCUUUUGUAAUUUACUGUAGUAUAGUUUUGUGUUUCAUGGCCAUUUAACACCAACGUUUACAAUUCUCUUCCUAACGCCAUGUGUAUAUAAUAAGAGUGUGCAGCCACCAAAAUGUUAAACUUGUAACGGUAGUGUUUGGAAGCAGGCUGUUUUGGAACCUCUCUGUCUCAUGAUUUCGUACAAAUAUGGGUACAGAUCUAUUAAAUCCAAAGUUCUGCUUUGCCCCCAUUAACUGUGAUGGGAAAUAAUAAUCUAAAAAAGCUAUAGCUUUUCUCUUUUUCACAUAAAUGGGUGAAAUUUGCAGGUAACUGAACUUAUCUGGAGUGGGUUAACCUGCUAAAUGUCCAACAGAUGCACCUGGCGGGGGAAGUUGUGCAGAAAACAUUUAAAGUUUUAAACCAGUCAUUUGGGGCUGAGUUGGGCCUGGUUGGCUUUGUGAAGUCGUAUUUUUCACUUUUCAAUACUUCACCUUGGGGGGAAAUUGGGGUAAUUGUCUUGAGACUUAUUUCACUGGAUUUGUCACAAUGUAAGUGAACAGCAAAGGGACGCAGGUGGCACUGUGGUCUAAAGCACUGAGCCUAAGACUUGCUGAUCAGAAGGUCGGUGGUUCGAAUCCCUGCCAUGGGGUGAGCUGCCGUUGCUUGGUCCCUGCUCCUGCCAACCUAGCAGUUCAAAAGCACGUCAAAGUGCAAGUAGAUAAAUAGGUACCACUCUGGCGGGAAGGUAAACGGCGUUUCUGUGCGCUGCUCUGGUUCGCCAGAAGCGGCUUAGUCAUGCUGGCCACAUGACCUGGAAGCUAUACGCCGGCUUCCUCGGCCAAUAAAGCAAGAUGAGCACCACAACCCCAGAGUCGGUCAUGACUGGACCUAAUGGUCAGGGGUCCCUUUACCCUUUACCGUUACUAAGUGGACAGCAUGGGAAAGGCGACGGGUAAGAAGAGUCACUGAGGAAUGCCCAGAGGCACUUUUAUGGUGAUUGUGUAUUCCUGAGAUCUUUUCCCCCCUCAGGGCUAUGGGACACAGAACUCCUUUGUGGCUUGCCUGAAGCAAAGGCCACACACAACACCAAAGGUAUGGUGAGCUGGUGUGGCCUGGCCUAGUUUUGUUCAAACAAGAGGAGGAGACAUCAAUUAGGCCCCUGCCUCAACCAGCUCCUGUUCCACGGAAGAUGGCAAGUGUUUAGGUUAAUGAAGUUGAGAACCUUUGUUAUCCAACAUUUGCAUCUCGCCUCUUUCUUCCAAAUAUGUGUGCAACCAUGUCCCUAUAAAAUGCUUUAAAAAAGAAGAAGAGAUACAUUAGAUGACUUUAAGCAAAAAGCCCACGAAUAUUGAACAUUCGAUGCUGAACCCCAAACCACUAGCUCUGCACCUCAGUCACCUUAUUAACCAGCGAAGGGGCAGGUAGCUAGCCAACCUCCAUAUCUUGCCCUAUUCAGAAGAUACACACACAAAGAUCAGGGCAAAGAACCCUUGAACAUCACCUAUGAUUCAAUUUGAAAUUCUACCUUAUGUUUUAAAUGACCCAAUAGCUAUAGUUGUACAGCUUCUGUACAGGAUGUGAUCUCUGAUUUACAAGGCAUAAAAUCUUUAUCGUGUUCUAAAAUGGGCUAAUAAUAAUAAUAAUAAUUGGAAGCCAGAGGCCAAUUCAGAACCCAUAUGAUUUUCUUCUUCUUCUUCUUUUCUCUUGUCUUGACCUAAAAUUCUUGCGAGGUCUCUAAAAUUGCUAGUAUCUCAGGUUCUCAGAUGGUAUUUCUUGUAAUUCCAUCUAUUCAUGCUCUAUUGCAUGUUUGAGUGGUGGGGAGGGGGUCACCUUAUUAGCAAUUUUUAUUGUAAUCAUUUGCAGAAUAAAUUACUUCCUGACAAUGUGAGUCUAUUCCAUUGUUAAAGGCCUUAAAAAACACUUUUUUUGAGCUUGCACAAAUUUCUUCCUGGCAAAUGGGUCGGGCUGCACUUUAUAUCACUGCUGUAAGUCAAGCCAAUGGCCUUUGAUUUCCCUCUGCUUUUCAACAGGCUGGAAGAAUAUAAUGCUUACCACAGCGUUGAGGCGCACAAAUGAUGUCUAAGCUUUUUGUGUGCAGCAUCACAAAAGCUGGUGGACUACAGGUCCUAAAUGGAUGCAUGCCCUUUUGUGAUUAACCUCGAGGAGUGGAGCUGUCUUUUAACAAAAUGAAGGGGGUGUAAUCACAUAACAGCUUGUUGCUCUCACAAAAAAUAAAUUCAUUUCAUCUACCUUCCCUCCCGCAGGUCUUACUCAUUCUCUUGUGCUACAUCUGGCUAUACAUGAAACACUCUGGCCUAGCAUGUGAAGUUUCUUUUGUAUUGUAUUCCUACCCCCCCCCAAAAGACUUGAGUGAUUGUCUUAAGAAAAACAUGGAUACUGACUUUGUUCUUUUUAUCUAUAUUGUAUCUAUAUUAUUGCUGUCUGUUAUCCUAUCCACUAAUGAAUGGCGUUAGUGGAGAUUCUAUGAUGAUAUUGUGACAUGCCAUUAUAGUCAAUGAUCCAUUCACUCCCUUUUAACUCUUUCCCUUUGCCACCCUAACCAAAUGCUGUCGCCACAGUCCGUCAGGUGUAUUAUUUGAGAUCAGCUGCUUGAUUUCAUCCUUGGUAAUCUUAUCCAUGAAAUUGGGCUCUAGACUAUGUACAAUUUCAUCACUUGGGGCGGAUCUACAUUCAUGGUUUUUAACGUUAAGGAAGGGUUAAGGAAUGGUUUUUGUUAUGUACUGAAGUUCUCACCCUGGGCCAGCAGGGGGAUACUGUAGAUAGUUUUCACUCAGGUCCACAUAUGCAAAUAAGGGAUUGAAAGUGACGUUCAGUGAUUGGAUAGUUACAGAAAAUGGUUACUGUUACGUUCUAGUGGACCUCUAUAUAAGCAGGCUGGCUGAACCCUUCAGUUCAGUUCUGUUCUGGCCUGUGAAUAAACAAGAGCUGUUUGAAGAAUCGCUGUGUCGUCUGAUAUGUUCACCCACAACUUAACAGUUUUGAUAAUGUAGAUGGACACAUGAUGCCCUACUUUUUACAUUCAUAAUGCGGUAUUACCUUGUCUUUCUUUUCAUUUAAUUUUUAAUUGUUUUAUGCUACUAUAUCAGUGAUGGACUGUUCCUAUAUUCCUAUGUAGUGUUUUACCUUUUUUUUUACUGUGUGCACACUCUGACCCCCCCUCCAGCAGUAUUUCAGGGGGCAGAUAGCAAAGAAUAUGGGGGGGGGGGAGAGAAAUAACAUGUGAUGCAAGAGGCAGAGCAGAGCAACCAGCGACCACCAGCAGGGAAAGAAACAGCAUCUUGGAAAAUGGUGCGGUUGGAUAUUACCUACAUUUGAUGGGAAAACCCAAGGUAAAAAAACAUUUCAAUUAACAAGUGUGCCCUGUGAGAUUUUAGAGCAACAUAACUAAUAUCCAUCUAAUAGGGGGAAAUAAUGUUAAACAGGUCAGUGUAGAUCCAGCCUGGUUGUAUCGCUUCGGCAUUCACCAUGUAGUAGGAGCUUCAGCUUGUCAACAAUCAAGCAGAAUCAAAACUAAUUACUGAGUGACUGGUAACUAUUAGUAAUUACUAGAGACUUAUUGAGAACUCACACAGCAAUGAGACGGGGUCUAUCUUGGACAUAUCUUGUAAGGAGAGUGGGAAACCGGUUUUGGAAAAUUGUAUUAAAUUGAAUCAAUUCGGUAACGAUCUGUAAUAAUUUGGAAAAGCAACGAAAAUAAUUGGCGAAACUGAUCGCACAUUCGACAACUUCAGAUGCUGCGGUCUUGUGUACGUGGUAAGUGCCCCACACCCCCAAGAUAAGUGUGCAGAGUUAAUGCACAACUGGAAAGUAUAUUGAACCGAAUCCCUCUUGGCAUAUGUUGCUAUCACUCAAAAUCAUUAAGCAAGAGCAAUCCUGAAGAAACACUUGACUGGAGGCAACGUAAAAUAGAAACUUUACCCCUGCACUGUUAAGAUUUAUUCUAAGUGCCUCAUGCUAAAAUGGCACUGUUUACAGUGUAUCUGCUGCUAUGAUUCACAGACCUAUUAAUAUGCAUUGCUGGGGAUUAAUGAAAGCUAUAUUCAGUUUAAUAAUUUUAAAGUGUUUUAUUGUCGAUCACCCUCAGUUAAGCAGUUUUUAUUUCCACCAUAAGAGAAACAUAUUCCCUGCAUUUUUAAAAAGUUCACAAGAGUUUGAGUUGUAUCUGACAUUACCAAUGUGCUAGAUUUAAGUGAAGUAGCAUUUGAAAAAAACAAAACAAAAAAACCCAACCCACAACAAUGUGAGCAGGCAAACAAAAUGCUAAGGAGAAGAAAUUAAGAUGGCAAAGGAGGAGUGAUCAUAAAACUCCAAUAAAACUCAAUGAUGUACUUUCCUCUUGUGGACUCUGUGAUGACCAUCUCGUUCCGUAAAGUUUAAGGUAGAGUUUUAAAAGGGCAAUGCAAUUAAGCCUUCCAAGUAAUGGAAAGCAAAGGGAAAAACAAGAAGAAGUCAACUGACAAACAGGAGCUGUAAAACACAUGCACACACACACACAUAUCCAUAAAGCAAACCCUUAAAUACCAAAACUUUGCUAUCUAUAGUUCUUUAUGUAUAAUGAAAUGGGGGGGAGGGGCCGUGCAUAGGCCCCCCCCAUCUGACCUAUGUCUGAAUUCCUGUAGGAAUAACUCUUCCUACGUUUCAAAAAAGUAAGGUUGCAAGGAACAACUUCCUCUGUUUGGAAAUGGGUGAAUGCUGAAAUUGGCUAAGAAUGUGACUGCAAUCUUGAGGGCAGCAUACCAAUGACCAUGGGGUACUUAAAAUUAAAAUUCAAAACUGAUUAAGCCAUCAAUUCAUUGCUCUCAGGUUACUGUUUCUUGUGGUUCUUUCCAGUCCUUGUAAGAUUUUCAUUCAUAAAUCCAUUCUGUCCUGUUUCCAUGUUAAUCUGUGAUCUUUAAAAACCAAAACAAAACACACACACACAUGAACAUUUAUAUGAAAUACUAUUCUAAACAAAGUAUACACAUUCAAAUGUGUAUUUUAUUUCUAUGCAUGCGUUUCUCAAUGCAUCAUGCCAAAAAUACCCAUUUUAAUACAUUCUGGUACAAUUUUUUGAGCUGGGAACCAUGCCAUAAAAUUCAGAGAAGUGUGAAAUUAGUAAAAUGAACAUAACUGAGAAUUGAGCAGAGGGAAGGGACUUCAAAGGUUAUCAAUGGUAUUGACUCUCUUUUUAGUUUCCUCAGUAAAGUGACACAUGGUCAAAAGUAUUUCAAGCAAUGCUGUCCCUCAUUAACCUGACUGAAGAAGCAGAAAAUGAAAUUCAAACCUGCAAGGUCAGGCCAUGAAGAGUUAAUUAUUUGUUCCACUUACUUUAUCGAUAAUCAAAGGCAAUAUUAUUAGUUAAGGAUAUUGUUCACUUAUUAAUUGGAGUGUGUUUCAGAGAAUUAUAUUUGUUUUUAUUCUCUAUAUAUUACUCUUUGGUAGCUGCCUUGAGCCUCUUUGGGUGAGGCAGAAUUAUUUUACAAUAAAAGUAAAGGAUAACUAUGUCCUGCACAGUAGCCCAGGAAAGACUCUCCUCUUGCAAGAGAGGGGAGUGGUUGUGGUCGGGAGCCGGAUUCCGCCUCAAGCAGGGGGCGUUAGCCCCCUGCCUCCCACUCACCUGGCUGGGGCCCACGCCCACGGGCAGGCACCCAACCAGGUGCCUGUGAGGGGGCGUGUUUAGCAGCCUAAAUUGCUGCAGCACCAGCUUUCCGGCCUCACUUUUCGUCGUCCCGUCGCGAGUCACCCACCCUCCACUCCCUUAGAGCUCAGGGUCUCAGUUUUUGUUUGGCCUUGCUAUGGACCUUAGGUUGGUCGCCCUGGUUGUCCGGGGGGCCUGGUAGGAAUUUUUCCAUUUGGCAUUAGGCUUUGUGGUUUUUUCGCCUACCUCGUAGCAAUCGUCACAACUUUCGUGGUAUUGGUGGGUAGGUUAGGCACUGGAAUAAUGUGUUGUGGUGUGUCGAAGGGCUAGGUGUGGCCAUCCCCUGCGCCUUCAAUUUUGGGUAUUCCGUUAAAGGAAUCCGGCGGUCGUGUAUUCUGUCUGAUGCCUGCGUGGCGGGGGGCCAUGGCACGACCCUCGGUGGCAUCAGGGGAGAGCUUAUAGUUGGAUUAUCAUCAACAGGCUCCACCUACUGGUGAAUAAACCCCCCUGUUUUAGACUCACCCCUCUCCGAGUGGGUGGAGUCAGCUGACGUAAUCCAAUGCCUAAGCCAAUACCUUUUCACUUGCUGUAAUCAAUAAAGUUGUGGCCUUUUCUUGCCCAUUAACCUUAUAUCAUGUGUCCUUGUGUUUUCAUUCCACUACGCGGGGAUCAGGUCCUCGAACCACAAGUAUGAAUUAUGUCUGUCCUCAGGAAUCUGAUUUCUCAGGCAUCCCUUGUUUCUUGUUAUAAGGAAAAGCGGUUAAACAACAACACCCAUAUACUUCAGUAAAAGAUCACACUGUUACACCACAUUUUCAGUAUGAUAAGAAAGAAAGGUAAAGCAAAAAUAAACAGCAAAGAGCAAAGUCUGGCUUGGAGAUUCAGCCAACAUGAUGUGGCUUAAUGCAGAAGUCGCACAUACACUUGCUCCUUCAUUGACUGAACACUGCAACAUGAGUAGUGACCUUGAGCCACUGCCAAUUUUCUCUUAUCAGUUGCGUUUUCCUUUUGAUCUGUGGCUUCAAUGCAAGCGGUAGAGUCUUAAAUACCUGUGGCUGUCCUGUCAUCAAUAGGGAAGAAGCAAUAGGCACAGCAGAAGCCAUCGCUUUAAUUCAGGAGUCUUUUUUCCCCUUUAACAGGAUGGAAAUUGGAAAGAGGCUUCUUUCCAUCAAUGGCAACGGUGCAGACUCCUGUUGUCGGUAGGCCCUGUAUAUGCACUUCUGUGUCCAUGAUUCUAGCGAUUCAUUGUCGCGGCGAUAAGUUCAAAGAGAAGCACAAGCUGAAUAGGGAGGACAUGCCGUACCACUCAAACGUACAACUUUUAAGGUAUGUGAUUUUUUUUGUUUUGUUCCUAAGCAAUUUGGCAGUGUCCUUAUUUUCUGCCUCACUGGUCGCCUUUUAUCUCCUCUCCUUCUCGUGUUUUAGUUAGGUUUCUUUCCCUCUCAUUCUCCUUCAAGUUAUGUCAGUGGCACUGAAUACUGAUGAGUAAGGCUUGUCCCCAGCCACUCAUUCUCAGGUAAUCACUUCUGGCAUGGAACAUUGGCUGCAUUGUUAAGGGAACCAGCAUCCUCAGCCCUCUGUAAAACUCAGGUGAGCUAGUUAGUUCAUCUGCCCACAGUUUGUUCUAUCACAUUUAUUUCUGAAAUGCAGGCGGUGAGGAGCCAGCAGCCCUCCAGAUAUUGUUGCAUGCAGACUCCCAUCAGCCCUGGCCACCAAGGCCAAUGAUGAAGGAUGAUGGUAGUUGCAAUCUAGCCAUAUCUGAAGGGCCACAGUUUUACUGGCAGAACAUUUUAUUAAAAUAAAAUGGACUACAGUAAAGGAUGCAUCCAAAAUAUCCAUACAAUAUCUUGUGCUGUCCAGCAUAGGGUCAGCAUCUUACAAAAUAUGAAAUAACUCAAACAGACCUAAAAGCAAAGGUCUCUCUCUCUCUCUCUCUCUCCACUGCCUCCAGGCUGUUUACUGAGCCUUCAGGAGAGCUUAGUUUACAUCAGGGGUCACCAACCUAUGGUCCGGGGGCCGGAUAAGGCCCGAGGGACUUGUUUAUCCGGCCCGCAGCGACCCCCGCUGCCACCCACUCUUACAGGCAUGGCGUGGCAUGGGGACCCACUUCCAGAUCAGAGGAGCACUGAAAAUAGCUUGUGCGCAUGUGCACGGGCCUCCUCCGACCCGAAUGUGCACAGGAAAUAGUCCCCUGCCCUCCGGCCCGCCACGCGAUCAUCACUUGAGACACCGGCCCAAGGCAAGGAAAGCUUGGAGAUCCCUAGUUUACAUCUUCACUCCAUUGAGUUUGGGAGAAAAGACACAAAAGCAACUCACUUCAGAUUGGAGAUUUGCAACUCAAUGCCUUUAUCCCAUGAUCUAAAGUUACAAAGCUCACAUGUUAGCUACCAGAGAACAACCACCAAAGUGCUCUCCUUGGCUUUAAUACUGCCACAUGGUUAAACCGCAUGUUAAACCUUCUGCAAUAUACCUUUAGCCAUUUUUCAUUUCUGUGUCAAGUAAAUUAAUGUACUUAACACCCCCUGCUGUAAAGGAAGAGGGCAUCUGCUGUAAGGAUUUGCUUUAGAAUUAGCAAUGCCUAUACUGUGUCAGGCAGGGUCUAUCUAUGACACUGAAAUGUCUGCAAAGAUAGAGGGGGACUGUUUACUUAAUAGGCUCUGAAGCACCACCCAGUGUAGGCUGUUGGCUCUGAGUGGGAAGUGUGAAAUCUCUGUUGUUCUUUCUGUGCAACAAAUGCAUAGAAAUGAGAAAGAAGAGUUUGUGAAAAAAAUGACGGAAAUAAAAUACUGUGCUGUUGUAAUCAAUAUAUAUGUGACCUUUGCUGGGUGGGCCUUGAAUGGUGGUAGCUCCCAGUGAUGAUGGGUACUGGGGUAGUUAUCGCAGAUCUUGAUCCAGCAGGGGGAGACCUUGGAAAACAGAAAUUGUAUACCAGGGGUCAGCAAGGUUUACCUCGCCUGGGCCAGUUCACUCCAGUGGAAAUCCCUCCAUGGGCCGUAUCGUGCGUGCCCCCACGAUUUCCGGCGUCUAAACAGACGUGAUUUCCAGCGCUGCAGAAGCAAGUCCCCACACCGCACUGCGCUCGUUUAGCACAGCAUGCGGACACUCACCGAGCAGGCGGCUAGGUUUGGGGGUGGCUCGUGGGCUGGUUAAACGAUCCCCACGGGCCGCUUGUGGCCCAUGGGCCCUAGGUUGCCAACCCCUGUUGUAUACUAUGAAAGGGUUCACAAAGGACCUAUUAUUUCAUUUUUUAAAACAAUUUGUUGAACAUCAAGUACAAGUUGGAAUUUCCCAAAUUCAAAAUCAAGUUGAAUUUUCAAGUGCCAAAAUCAUAUUUAGCCAUCCAAGACUUUUUGUUGGCCCAAGAAAUCGGGUGAUUUUUCUCCUUCCCACUUACAAUAUUCUUUAAGCUGGUGUGGCGUGAGCACAGGCUUCUUUUUAAGAAGGACUUGGAAGUCAAACACUGUACCGUUAUGCUAUGCAGUAGCGUAAAAGGUUAGCAUUAACCUUUUUUUAGGAGAGCGUCUUAUGGUUAUACAUCACUGGCCGUGAUCCUUUACUGGUGCAAAUCAGACUCAUAAUGGAAGCAAAGGUCAGUGAAACUAUGCACGGAAAGUUAAGUUUACAUUACUUUUCAGUGCUGGAAAUGUUAGCUUAUGAUUAAUAAGGGUAGAACAUGCCUGAAUCCAAAGUUGAAAGUUUGUAAUAGCUGGUAUUUGACAGCCAUUUCUGUGCAAACAUGUUUCGUUAACUGAACCUGCAAGGUUGCCGGGAGAAAAUAUACAUACCUGUAAUUUUUUGAUGAGUCUUUACAGCUUUUGGUUUUAAUACCCUACUAUUAGCAUAUGCCUGUUGUUGUUGUUGUUUUAUUAUUAUGAUUAUUAAUUUCAUGUCUAUACCACUUUAUAUUUUAUGGAACAAAUCUCAAAGCAGUUUACAACACAUUAAAACAUGAAAUAAAGCAAGCCAGAAUAAAACAAAUCCAAGCUUCAAGGAAUAUAUUUCAGAUAUUCCUCUAGGGGGCGUUUUGCUUUUCCCAGCCACCAAACUGGCAUCCAUAGAUGGCCAUGUGGUUGCAAAUUGGACCUGUGCCAAUCACAAAACACUCCUGGUUAAUUUCUAACACUGCUGUACUGGUAUCGUGUAUGUAUACAUACACACACAAACAUACACAGUGACAUUCAUUUUGGACAACAAGCAAUAGUUUGGUUUGUGCUUUUAAAACGUUAUUGAUUUAUUAUUUCCUAACAUUUAUACACUGCUUUAUUCUAAGAGAAGAAAAGCCCUCAAAGCAGUUUACAAAAAAAGACAAAAAACACACCUACCAAUAAGAAAAACUGACAACCAUAAUUUAAAACUUGUGAGAAGUUUAAAUCAGCAGCAAACUAAAAAGAGAUUAAAGCUCGCAUGUUGAAUAGCCACCAGCCUAGCAUUACCAAAGGUCUUAAUUCUCCGGCUUCAUAUAUUUUAGCAAGAAACAACCCUUUAAGGAAAGGGGAAUAUAUUGAAUAUCUAAACAAAAACUGAGAGCCAUGGUGGAUGCAUUACACCGCAGGAUGCAACAAAUCUGCACACAUACUUGAUUUACUUCUCUGGGGGUGAUUAGGUGCUAUCUGGUAACUGUUGAUUUAAGCAGAGUCUCGUGCCCAGCGGAAGGAUGAGGAAUACGUGCUGCAUACUCUAUAUUGCUUUAUUUACAGUUCAAAGCUGGUAUAUUACAGAAAGACAUCUUGCCUCUGCCGGAGCAGAAAAUGCAUCCUCUCUCCUCGACAGCUCGGAGAGAAUCACACAGUGAAAAACAGGAAACCAGUGUACGUCACAUCCAGUCUCCCUUUCCCGUGAGAAACUCCAACAGUACAGACUGUGGAAUGUAAACACCUGUCUCGUGACAAGCAGAGCUGCACAGUGAAGGAAAGCAGAAACCAACAUCCUCCCCCUUUCUGUGAACAUCACUGGGCAGCGUGUUUGCACAAUAUCAGUACAAACCCAACUUCUGCACAUAGGUACAGUGUUGAUCCCUUGAUACAAUCUUGGACAAUACAUCAGCAGGAAUUUCAUUACCUGGCAUAUAGGACACCGUUACGAGUCCCUUCUGAAUACAUUCCCUAGCAUGCUGCAACUUUAAUUGUAAGUGCUUUGUGCUUUGCUUACAACCUUCAGACUUCAGCAAAGCCAAACAUGCUUUGUUGUCCUGGUAAACCUGGAUUGGACAUUUGACAGGAAUUUUCAUAUCUUUGCACAAUUGUACUAACCAUUCACAAUCCUUAAGUGAAUAAGACAGUGCAUUCAGUUCGGCUUCACAAGUACUUAAGCUAACUGUUGUUUGCUUCUUGCAUGACCAAUCAAACAGACUCUGAUUGUACAUGUAGCAAACUCCAGACGUACUUUUCCUGUCUGUAGUGUCACUUCCAAAACUUGCAUCUGCAAAUAUCUCAAGACCACCAGACUUCUGAUUGUUAAAUCUCAGUCUGUAAUGCAUAGUGCCUUUCAAAUACCGCGCUAUGCGUUUCAGAGCUUUCCAAUGCUUGACACUAGGAUUGUUGACUUGUCUGCUUAGCAAAUUACAGCUAACAGCAAUGUCUGGUCUUGAACAUCUGGCAAUGAAGUUUAGCUUGCCUAGCACACUCCUGUACAGUGUAGUGUCAGAAAAUGCUUCUUCAGUGUCAUCUACCUGAUAACCUGUUGUCAUCGGUGUGUCUACAGGGUUAGCAUCCAUCAGAUUUAGUUUGCUUAACACAUCAGCAAUUUUCCGUGACUGGUGUACUAGAAUGUUACCAUCUUGAUCUCUCUCUAUUUCCAGAGAUAGGUAGUUGUUUACCUCACCAAGAUCUUUCAUGUCAAAGUGCUCUUUCAGUUGAGCUAGGGCGUUAUUGUACAUUGCAACAUCUUUCCAAAAGAAUAAUAAAUCAUCAACAUAAAACAAACAGUACAGUUUCUUUUGCCCCUCCUCUUUGACAAAUACACAUGGAUCAGCUUUCCUUGCUGAAAACCUAGAGAAAACAAUACUUCAGUGAGUUUUGUGUGCCAACACCGUGCACUUUGUUUGAGACCAUAAAGGGAUUUCUUCAGAGCACAAACAAAUCCCUGUUUUACCUGUACGCCAUCAGGUGGAAGCAUAUAAAGUGAUUCAUCUAGAGAUCCGUACAGAAAAGCUGUAUUAAUAUCAUGGUGACUAAUGUGUAGAUUUUCCUCUGCAGCUAGCUUGAGCAUAAGCCUAAUGCUUUCAUAUCUCACUGUGGGUGAAUAGGUCUCGUGAUAGUCUUCACCUGGUACCUGUGCAAAACCUCUGGCUACCAAUCUGGCUUUGUGUCUGACUAUCUUGCCAUUUUGAUCUGUCUUCGCUUUGAAGACCCAUUUGCUUCCAAGCAGUUUCAUUCCUGGAACUACUGGAACUAGCUCCCAUGUUUUGUUCCUUUCUAAGGAAUCAAGCUCAGCCUUCAUGGCAUUUAACCAUGGCUUAGCUUCCUUUGAAUCCAAACCCUGGAUUUCUUGGAAACUUGAAGGUUCAAAUACCUUCUUGGAGCUUUUAACAGCUGUUACUGCUAUCUUAGCAAACUCAUCAGCAAAUCUCUUUGGAGGUUUGCCUUUUGUGGCUCUCUGUGACCUACGAAUUAGCCUUAAGUCUUCAACACUCUCCUCUUCCUUCUUAGGAGAAAAACGACCUAUUGUGAACAAUGGUUCCUCCAAUUCUUGAUCAGAGCUUUCAGAGGGUCGCAUAGAGGCUUUCGCACUCUUGAAAUCCUCUGAAUCACCCGAUUCAGUUUCAGAUUCAGACUCAGAACCUUCAUCAGUGGGUGUGGGCUGUUGUGGUUGCUUUUGACUAUCCUCAGUCUCAUCACCGUCAUCAGGAUAACAUUGGAAAAUUCCCACAUUCUCCCCACACUUUGCAUUGUACUCAACACUUCUCGUGAGCUUAAUUGUCUUAGAGUCAGUCAUCAUUAUUCUGUAAGACCCUUUCUGAUAACCUAGAAAGAUACCAUGCAAUCCACGCUUGUCUAACUUGGAGUUUUGUGGUGAGCGAACCCACAUGUCAGAACCAAAAAUCUUCAUGUGUUUGAUGUAUGGCUUCUUGCCAAACAUCUUCUCAUAGAGGUACAACCAAUCGCUGAAGAUAACCUGCGAUUGUAACUGUAAACAAAACACGAGAGAGAUUCGGCCCAAUAACUCUCUGGAAGAUUGGCAUCAUGCAGCAAGGUUUUUAACCCUUGAAGCAAUGUCUGAUUUGCCCGUUCCGCAAGUCCAUUCUGCCAUGGCGAGCGAGGACUAGACAAAUCGUGUUGAAUUCCUUUCUCAGUCAGAAAAGCUUCAAACUGCUGAGAAGUGAAUUCCCCCGCGAUCACUGAAAAGAGUCUUUAUCUUCUUACCAUGCACAUUUUCCAACCAAGCACAGAAUUCCUUGAACCUAGGAAAAGCCUCCGAUUUCUGCUUGAGAUUGUACACAAAAAUAUAUCUAGAAAAUGCAUCAAUGAGAACCAUGAAGUAUCUAUUUCCACCCAAAGAGGGCGCUAGUGGUCCAACCAAAUCAGCAUGAACAACCUGGUAUGGUUCUGUAGCUUUCCUACUAGACACCUUACCUUUCGCAGCCAUUUUCACUUUGUUUGCUGCGCAUGCUUUGCACUUCAUGUGGUACCUGCAGGGUUUAAUAGUCAUACCUUCAACCAAGGCAGGCAUUUUAGAUACUGCCUCAAAAUGCAAAUGACCAAAUUUUCUAUGAAAAUCGUGAAUACAUUCUGCAUGCAAACUUUUGUUAGAACCUGCAAUGCAACAAGUGUCAUCCUGCACCACAUCAUCAUAAUACAAAACAAACAAAUGAUCAACAUAUUCUGCAUGCAAUACAUAAUCAUUUUUCUUUGUGAUGAUGCACUUCUUGUUCUUGAAGGAAACGUCAAUGUUCCGCUCAUUCAGCUGUCCAACGCUGAGCAGAUUAUGUUUGGCGUCUGGCACGUAAAGCACAUUCUGUAUCGAUAAGUCCAAACUGUGAAGAACAACAGUUCCGUAGCCUUUACUGGGAAUAGUGUGGUCAUCCGCCUGGUGAAUCGCACCUUCCUGCGGUGUAAAAGACACAAACAGUCUCUUAUCAUUGCACAUGUGGUGGGUCGCCGCUGAAUCAACAACGAAGAAAGAUCUAGACGUCUUCUGGACCUCUGCAACCUUUGGAGUGAAGCGUGAAACCAUAGCCUUGUGCUGCGUUGUCCUAGACACCGGACCUUUGCCUUUGCCUCGGCCUUUUCCGCGUGAUGAGCUUUCGCUGCGCUGCUCUGUCUUGGCCCUGGGAUGUCUGCAUUCCCUCUUCAUAUGGCCUAGACGUCCACACGAGUAGCAUUUCACUGCCUUCAAAGCUUUGGCGCCAUCUGGUGGUUCCACUGCACUAUGGGAUGACGUCUGUGAAGACUCCCCUUGCCCAUGCAGCUAGCACCCCGGCGAUCUGCUUCAUUUAAAAUCACGGCAGUAACAAAGUCCACUGUCAGCUGAGCAGUUGGUUGCACAGCAAUCUGGGUUGCAACAGACUCCCAACCUGAACCCAAAGAUUGUAGUAUCAUGAAAGAAUACACAGCCUCUGGAAAGUUGAGUCCUCUCUGUUGCAGCUCAUGUCUCAGAUUUUGCAUCUCCAUCAGAUGUAAACGCACAUCUCCACCUUCAGCAAGAGCCAUAUUAUGCAGCUUGUUAAAGUAAAACAUAGUGGAUCCAGCUUCUGUCCUUAAGUGAGCCUCUCUCAAAGCGUCCCAAAUUUCUCUGGCUGAGGUCUUAUCACGCAAUAGACAGAGCUCUUCUGGGGAUACUAUCAAUGUAAGAGUUCCCCUUGCUUUGGAAUCCUUAGCUUCCCAUGCAUCUGUAACUGGAACUGGGGGUUCCUGUAAUCACCUCAAACAAACCCUCUUUCCGCAGAAUUGCCUCUGCAUACUGAACCCAGUCGCUGUAAUUUUUCUUGUUGAGCUUAGGAAUCCCACAAGCAUCCUGAAGGGCCAUCAUGACUCUGGCAUUAGCCUUCAGCGUCAUAUAUGCUGCUUUAAAUCUUGCUGCGUCACUGCUGCAGCUGCUUUAUUACAAAGGCACACUUAAAAGUUACUUUCGAUUUCCCCAGCAUAGUGACUUGUGCCUGGGAGCCUUUUGCCUAUUCCCGGCAAAACCGGCUUUAAAAGUUCAAAGUCCAGCCAUAAAGCCAUUAACUUGAAGCUGGCAGGCUGCCCGGAGCAGUAGCACAUACCUCAUCAAUCACCUCUACGCGCAGAGCAGAUUCCGUUCCGAUCUGUCCCUCUGCAUUCCGAUCCUUUGCCGGCACUCCGAUUCGACUUCUGGGCCCAUAACCACGUGUUGAUUUAAGCAGAGUCUCGUGCCCAGCGGAAGGAUGAGGAAUACGUGCUGCAUACUCUAUAUUGCUUUAUUUACAGUUCAAAGCUGGUAUAUUACAGAAAGACAUCUUGCCUCUGCCGGAGCAGAAAAUGCAUCCUCUCUCCUCGACAGCUCGGAGAGAAUCACACAGUGAAAAACAGGAAACCAGUGUACGUCACAUCCAGUCUCCCUUUCCCGUGAGAAACUCCAACAGUACAGACUGUGGAAUGUAAACACCUGUCUCGUGACAAGCAGAGCUGCACAGUGAAGGAAAACAGAAACCAACAGUAACAUGCCAAUGUUCAAUUCAUUUUAUUGGGUGCAUCGCCCAUCCUCCAAAGAGUUUGUAGCAAUGUUAUAGCACCAUAACAACAUUAGAGUGAGACUUAUUGACGUAUAUAUUGUCUUACAUGUCCUUCCAGCAUGCUGUUCCUACAAAUUAAAUAGAGAAGAGAAGGGAAACCUUUGUCCCCGCCUGAUGUUGUCGAUUCCAACUCCCAUCAGACCCAGAGCACGGCCAAUCCCCAUGUAUUAUAGGAUGUGUAGUCCUAUAAUCCACUAGUCUCACAUCCCUGAUAUAGAGAGUGGUGCUUCUGUCAAUAUGUGUAGCUGCAAUUUGUAUGGGCAAUCUUUUCUGGAAGAUCAUUGUAAUUUCGAGGCGUUAGUUGAUCUAGCAUGGUCAUCUCUUCCUGCCUCUGUUUACUUCCUGUCUCUAACUCUUGUUAAAGUUCUUUGAUGAAUGAGAGCAGCCUUUAACUUCUGACCUUCUUUGAGGUAGAAGCAUUGGGAAGAGGGUGACUAAUGAAUGAUCUGCACGUAGCCAUACAGGCUAGCUAUCAAUAAUCUAUAAAUCAGAUGGUUUGGGGGCAGAGUGCUGAGAAGCUUGUGCAUGGACUGAUCGAUCACAGGGCCGUGAAAACUGAGGCUUCACCAUUUCUUGAGGGCUUCUCAGUGGCAGAUUAAAGUGCUUGCUUGUUAAUGUAUAUUAUGCUUGCUGUUUAGAAUAAAAUCUUUAAUCUUCUCACUUGCUUGUGUUUGUAUUGCUUCUGAAUCUCAUUAAAAGAACCACCUUGCAUUUGGCAAGACCUAAUUCCACAGUGGAUGUCAACUGAACAUACCAAUGUAAGGCUGGACCAAAAACGUUCCUAAAUUUGUUACAAAUUGUAUUAGCUGGGCAAAAUAUUUGUAUCCGAGUCAAUUCCUGGUCAUGUUUUUAAGAGACACACUUUGAGGCCUAAGUAUCUGUCAUGAGAUUAUUUCAGCUGCAGAAAAUCUCAAGCAUAUAAUACAAUUUGGUUGAAGAAAUAAUGUUUACUGUACCAACAAAGUUUUAUUGGUCUGGCAUUUUUCUCCCUUCUGAUAGUCUGUUUACUUUCAGCAGAACGACACCAAAGUUCCUCAUAUCAAUCACUUGACUUUGGUUUCACUACAGAGAACACCAACAGUUUUACUAAUAUGUGGCUAUGGAAAGCUAACAGUAUGGAAGAAAGCUGCCAAUUUGAUGAAGGGGGUUUGGGGACAAAUUUGACAGAGGUGAUCUAUGUUUUGCCUUCAACUUGUUCACUGAACACAGAGGACACAAGAACUUGGGGACAUGAAUCUCCCAUCCCCAAGAUCAGGACCUCUUCCAGCAUUUUAUUUUCCUGGAGUGGGGUCUUGGAUAAACAAAUCCAUACCUUAAGAUGCAUGACUAUAUGUUUUAGAGGAUGGUGCAUUUUGAUGCUCUUUUACUGAUUUAUGGAUGGUUGGAUCUUGCUGGAUUCUGCAGUGUCCUACUGUAAAAGCAGCAACCUUACACAAUGAGGUAAGCCCCAUUGAAUUCAAUGGCACUUUCUUCUAUGUAGACUUGCAUAUGGUUGCAAUUCAACUGCUGUUCUAUUUAUGUUUGCUUUUAAUUUGCUGUUCAUAUUUUAAAAUAAUUGUUUUAGGUUUUUUCCUGUUUAACAGGAAACAUUAAACAGAAAAGACAAAAAAGAAUAUUUGAGAUUGACUAUAUUUAUGGCAAAGCUUGCAAUCAGUGCUACCCAAAGUGGUUUUUCUUGAGAGUGGAGGCGAUGAACACAGCCACCCAGAUUUAAUCUUAAACAAAGAACUCAUAUUAGACAGCCUUUGUCAUCUUGGUGUCCUCUAAGAUGCUUUGAACUGCAUCCCCCCUAGCCAGCUGUGCUGUCCUGGCUGGGAUUGCUGGGAAAUGUAGUCCAAAACACCUGGAGAGUGCCAGGUCUGCAAAGGCUGUAUCAGAGGCUGUAUUUAGAAGCAUUUUAAUUAAUUUAUUUAUUUAAAAGGGGGAAAUAAUGUCAAUUUAAUUCAAAGCCUCCUGUCGAUGACUGGCUUCAGGUGGCAUGGAAAAAUGUGAAAAUAAGAAAAAGAGGUCACUUGUUACAACACUGCUCACCAAACCCUAUAGAAUUCUCUCUUUUUUAAUGAAAUAAUUUUUAUUGGUUUUACAAAUACAAAGUACAAAUAAACACAAACUAGUAAAAACAUAUCUACAUAAAGAGAUUCUCCAAAUUUUGAGACUUUCUCCUCCAUGGGGUCUCAUUUUAAAUAUCUACAAUGGCAUAUUCAUCCAUACUCCAAUUUUUAUAACAAACCAUAUUGUCCAUAGUGAUUUUCACACUACAAGUGAAUCAGAAUCGUGCUCUUGUUUCCAUCUGCUUACAGUGGUCUCCUAAGUAAUUUAUAAUCCCCCCCAUUCUUUUAUAAAGUUUUAAUCCUCUUGGUUUCUGAGUUUUCCAGUCAUCUUUGCCAUUUUGGCAUAGUUCAUCAUCUCGGUUUGCUGUACUUCUCCAGUAGGGACUUUGUCUUCUUUCCAACUCUGGCCUAAUAACAUCUGGGCGGCUGUUGUUCCAUACAUAAAGAGUCUUUUCUGCUCCUUUGGUAUGUCAGUACCUGUAAUUCCUAAUAAAAAAGCUUCUGAUUUCUUAACAAAAGUUAUUUUAAGCAUUUUUUUUCAUUUCAUUAUAUACCAUCUCCCAGAAAGCUUUUAUUACCUUACAAGUCCACCACAUAUGAUAAAAGGUACCUUCUUUUUCUUCACAUUUCCAGCAGAUAUUUGAUCUUUUCCUAUACAUUUUUGCUAACUUAGUAGGAGUCAAAUACCACUUUACCAUUUUUGCUAACUUAGUAGAAGUCAGAUACCAUCAUUUUCAUAUAAUUUUCUUUCAAUGUACAACAUGCUGUAAAUUUCAAAUCUGAUUUCCGUAACCUUUUCCAAUCUGCCAUCUGAAUAUUAUGUCCCAAAUCCUCUGCCCAGUUAAAAUUCUCUAUCAUUAGCAAAUUCGUUCAGUUUCUUUUUAAGAUUUCUAGAGGGGGUGAAAAUUUCAAUUCUGUGUCUGAGAUCUGAAUUCAGAUGUUCACAUUUUGUACUAUGCUAUUGUAUUGCAUCGUAAUAAAUAAAUAAAUAAAUAAAUAAAUAAAUAAAUAAGUCCCAGUUGCAACCUGUAUCUUGGAAUUAUUUUUCUUUUCUCAUUUUCCACCUUCAUCAUCGCACUGCAGUUCAUCUUUACUCAUAUCCCCUUCUUGCUGGAGAAGAAUAAAAGGGCAUUGAGGGCCUCGGUACAAAUUGUCAUACUAAUUCCCAGCUGCGUGGCACUCUUUACGAGACCUUGCCAUUUCAUGUUCAUUUUAUAGAUCAGCGAUUUCCUUUAGUCCUCCUCAUUACUGCACUUAGUGUGGGUGACUUCAACAGGCUGUGCUGGCUUUUAUAUUCUCAAAGUGACUGUCAUCGACAGUAGUGAAUAACCUCCCCCCCACCCCACCCCAGAAAGCACCUCAUGAGCAGAAUAUUCAGCGGAUCCCAAUGAGGCUGAGGCAGCUUCUUGUACAAUGAUGGAAAGCCAUGAAUGAUUGUCAUUUAUUGGGUAGUAAAUAUCUUUGCCUAUUAGAAACAGCUGGCGAAUGCAUCAGAGGUUCUGAUCGGCUUCUUCCUAUGGAGCAGAUGUUAGCAGAAUUGGACAGCUGUUGGAAUUAGGCAUGUUGUGGGCAUUUCACAGUAUCUGCCCAUGUCUGAAUCCACAAUAUAACGGCAAUUUAACCAAAGUCCAUUAGUAGCUAAUUAUUUCCCUUAAUUUUUCAGGGGAAAUGGAUUUGAUAAAAUAGAUUUACAAAGUAGACACAUUUUCCCACUGUCUGAAUGAUAUAAGAAGACAUUUUAACACACGAUGAUUCCUGCUUGAGCCAACCAAAUGCCCAAUAGGCCAAUAGCCCCCCACAUCUCCCAAUUCUCCAGCAUGCUUCCUUGGAUCCUGGAGGUGGUAUACAGCUGCCAUGAAUAGUAGCCAUUUUCUGCCCUCUCCCCUGUCAGGGAAUGUUUGGAGCAGGAAGACUGGGAAGUGUGCACUCAGUCUGAUCAGCUUCUCUCUGAAGAGAAGGAGGAGAGGAAGGAUUCACCCCCCCUUGUCUACAGCAGUUUUGGGGGGGAGAUGCUAUACUGUUCGAUGGAGAAUUGCCUAGUUACAAAAUAGUAAACGAGGAAGGGGAGUUGAGAGCACAGUUGGCAGAGACCUCUUCCAUCUCCAUGGGCUUGUCAGUCCCUCUGCAUUCUAGAACAGAGGAAGCAGAGGGGUGGGACUCCUGGGACUUCCUGUUGGCGCACAGGAUGUUGUUGGGAAUGGAGGAGGUGGGGCUCAGAGUAGCCAACAUCUCUCUUUGUGUGGAGACAUGGAUUCUUGUCUGGAAACCAGAUGACUGAAUAAAAGGGACUAUAAAAUAUGAACUGCUUGUUAGUUUUGCCCUUUGAUGCUACCAGAGGGGAAGAGGACUCCCCACGCCUGACAUCCACCAUGAAUUUUUCAACUAUUUUAAAGCCAUUUAAGGUGCUGGCAUCACUAAAAUAGUGUGGUAGUAAAUACCACAAGUUAAUCAUGUGUAAAGAAUUUCCCACCAGUGAGCUUCACUGGACAGCCUAUUAUGAGACACGAAUAUUAUCCACUUUCUCCAACAACAUGUGGAGGUCCACAGAUUAGCCAUCUCUGGCUAAAUGUUUUUACCUCGUUCCACUUUUUCAGAGCUAAAAUCCCUAUUCCCUUCCUGUUCCAUACAGAACCCAAUUGUCAACAGCCAGCAUGAAAUUAAUAGGAUUCUAAUGAUUAAGUUUGGUAUGAAAAGGUAGUAUUUCAGAAAAAAAGAUAAAAUAACAAUGACAGUGGCUUAAAUUUAUAAAUGUGGCCCUGAGCUGAAAUGGUUUGGGGGACCACUAACUGGUGGCUCCAACCUGCUGAAAAGUUUUCUUGCAGAACUCCUAUUCAUUUUAACGGGGACUGCGAAAGAUCCCUUCCUAGUGAAUUUUGACGUUUGUCAUUUCUUUGAAAGUUAAGAGGAAUGUCACUCUUAGACUGACACUUCAGUACUUAAAAUGUAUCAGCUGUACGACAGAAAAUUAGUGAUAUACUAUUCCUACCGCUUCCAGAUAAGGACUGUAAAUAAAUUAGAAAAGGGUUUGCAUUGUCUGCCUUCUCAAGAUAAAUAUAAUAGCGUUGAGUGGUAAAAUAAUAAUAAUAUGAGCUAUAAUUUGCAUGGUGCAACAGGUAUUAUAGAUUUUUUUUUAUUAAAGAAAAUAAUUAUCCAGUGGAUUCAGUAUUUAUGUAAAAAAUUAUAAUUUCAAGGGGAAAGUGAAGUUAAAUGUAUUUCUGAAAAACUGGAAAGUAGGUAUCUAAUCCUAUAAUGAUGCACAACCAACAGGCAAUUUUCUCUUCAUAUGUACAAUAUAUUAUAUACUGGACAUAUUUCUAUAAUUUAAAGGAUCAACAUAAGCCUUUCUCAUUAAAACUUACUCUCUAUUAUUGGGGGAACGGAGGAGGUGAAGGGGGGGAGUGUAGUUAGAAAGUGGGUGGUCUGUAACUUUUAUUUCCAACCUUCUUUCUGCCCCCCCUCUAAUUCCCUUUGACUAUAUCCAGCAGUCAAAUUCAGACCUAUUUAGGGAUUUAAAGAGGUGACCCAAUAUAAUGAGUUAUUAUCUUGCUGUCUCUGUAUUUAACUCUUUCCUUGUGUUAGGAUAGCAGAAAACAAUAGAAAUAUAUAGAAAGCCAACUUUCAGAUAGCUAUGGGGGUGGGUCUGAGCUGAAGUUAGCACCCCUAACUAACAAGGAUCUUUGAAGCAAUUCAGGGUGAUUUGUAUAUUCAUACUUUUUUUUUUUUAAGUUCCAACAGCAGAUUUGUCCAGGAGUUUGCCUGAACACACAAAUGUGGGUAACUUAGGGUAUAUAUGUUAAGGGGUAAGCAAGGUUAACAUGCAUAACAACCAGCUAUUGUGCACAUUCACCAGCGCUCAUGGACCAUGUGUACAUAAUCCUUCCAUGAAGAGGGAAUUGUGCACAUUUUCAGGUCAAUAUACAUAAUCCCAAUAGGCCUUGGAGAAUGUGCAUUUAUCAACUGAAUUUUGUAUAAUUAUGUAUGAAUUUUCAUAUACUUAAGUAAUUUUAUAAUUUAUGAUUAUGAACUUUGUAUUAUAUUAUAUAAUUAUGCAUAAUGUCCAAUAGGUCAUAGGGAUGAUCUUGACUGCAUUUUGUACAUUGUCUGGGUAAUAUGCACAUUCAACAGUCAGUAUGCACCGUCUCCAAGAAACUUAUUUUCCCCCUUUUAUUUCAUGUUCUGAAUUUUGCCAUUCCUGAGCUCCUUCUGGCACAGUGUCCAAUCUUACAGGACCAUAACAUACCCUCCCACUAUCAGUCAAGCAGCAAGAAGAAAGGAGGGGGCUUUUCCACAAUAAAUAUCAACUUUUUCCUGCUGUUCAACCCCCUUUUCACCACUCUCAACUGUUCCCCAGUUAGCUGAGCAGUACAAGGGGAAUUGCAGGGGGAGAAAAGUUCUCAGCUUUCCCUCUCACAACUAUGAUGCAAAAUUCUUACACCCCCCCCCCCGCUACCAAGCUUAGGAAAAAGCUUAAUAACAACAUGAGGUUAUCUUGGGGAUUUCAGGAGAAUGAAGAUUCAACCACCUGCCAAAGGGUUGCCCAGCAGGGAAAGAAGGGCUGCGAGAGAAAAAAGUGUGAAGCACCUCUUAGGGGUCAAAUUUACAGGGCGUAGUGAAGAACAUAUGGAACACACAACACUGGAAUAUAUAAAUUGCCUCCUCUCCACACAAAAAGUGUGGUUUUACUUUUAUCCGUGACUCACCUUCAGCUGAAAUUAUAGGUGUGGAGAGCUUGCAUCAUUGUGCCUUUCAUGCAAACUGUGGAGUAUAAGCUAUUUCAGUGCUGAAGGUGGACAAACAUAAUGGGCAAACAAGGCCAUUGUGGAUGUAAUCAGCAGAGACUUCUAAACUGCAGUGGGUGGGGAAAGGGAUCGACGUUCUAUUUCUGCGAUUGUGAGAAUUACUGCUGUCCAUAUUGGCAAUUCUAUUGAGCGGACAUAAAAUGUAACCAGCAGACUUAAGAGUUGACUUAAAUGCGUUUCGACGAAACUGAUCUUGGCUUAAAUGCAAAUGAUACAGUUUGCAUACCUUAUUGAAUGGAGUGCCCCAAAAGUUCUUGAUUUGCUUCUGUUGUGUGAUUGGUUGCACGCCAUCUCAAUUUCCAAGUGGUGAGAGAUUCCAAGGGUUUCAGGCGCUUGCCCUGAACCUCGUGGUGAGAUGUGAAGCUACAGGGAACCAGGCAGAGGGGCUUCUCAGUAGUGGCGCCUGCCCUGUAGAACAUCCUCCCACCAGAUGCCAAGGAGAUAAACAACUAGCUGACUUUUAGAAGACAUAUGAAGGCAGAAGUUUUUAAUUGUUGAUGCUUUACUGUGUUUUUAAUAUUUUGUUGCCAGCUGCAACCACCCCACCCCCCAGGGUUCGUGUUUCCCUUGGAACGAGCCACAGUGGAAACUGUGCUAUCUUUAUAACAUAUGGUUUAUUUACACAUAUAUAUACAAGAUGAGCCUAUGAUGGAGAGGUACACAGCAUUAACACCUCAAGAGGGGUCUUGCUUCUCCCAUAGCCACAACUUUGGAUUGAGACAGAAAUCAAACAUCGCUCUCCCUUUCUGGCUUCCCAGCCUGCUGCUUCCAGGUUCUAGCUAAUAUGACUCUACUCUAAACACUAGCCUUUGUCUUUCUAUUAAUGGGGCUCCACCCAUUUGUCCUCUGGCAUUGAGUCACUUCCUUUGUUCUCUUAAUGAACUAGGCAAUCACUUCACCAAGAAGCUAGCUUGGCUAAUCCAGGAAUUUGAAUACUUGCUUAAAUUUCAACACUUGCUGGAGCUAGGAAUUAGAAGGGUCUCAGCAUACAUCCUACUCCCACCCCCCAAACACAUUUAACAGUACAGUAUUAACAGUUCCUGAACUUCCUAUUCCUGGAGUUAUAAAGAAAGUUAGGAAAGAGGCCUUCUUGGUAGUGGCACCCUCCCUGUGAAACACCUUCCCAUCAGAUAAGCAACUAUACAACCUUUAGCAGACACCUGAAGACAGUCCUGUAUAGGGAAGAUUUUAAUGUUUUAUUAUGUUUUUGUAUAUGCUGGAAGCUACCCAAAGUGGCUGGGGCAACCCAGUCAGAUGGGCGGCAUACAAAUAUAAAAUAAUAAUAAUAAUAAUAAUAAUAAUAUCAUAACUGCAUAACUGUCCCCCACUCCCGGAAAAAGUGAGCUCAGGAGAAUACCAAUAGCUUCUAACCUGCUGCAUAAAAUUAGUGAUGGAUUUAAUGAUACACAGAAAAUAUGCUACAGAGAUAAUGGACUGAAUGGUCACUAAACAGCCACAGUUCACAAUCCACAACUGGUCAGUUAGGUGAGAUUCUACUGAAUUGCAGCACUCCAUCUGACAUUUUCAACAUGAAAACUUCCUUGCUAAAACAAAGAAACAAAAAUUAAAUAGAUGAAAGGGUGGCCACAAAAGCUGAGGCUAACAGUGCAUUAUUAGAUGGGGUGAAUCAAUAAGACAAGCAGCUAUUAGCACCUGACAGGCUUUGAAAAGUUAGCCUUUCUUCUUACUCCUUGAACAGAACUGAAAAAAGAACACUCUACAUACACUGCAGAGAAUCCACAUUUUCAAAUCAAUAAAUCAUAGUAAUUGGUUUGGCGAAAGACCCCAGACAUCAGCCUGAACUCAAAAACCAUUCCUCAGAUGCACUUGCUUCUAACUCAAAGACCCACAAUUAGCACCGGAUGUAACCAUUUGGAAACAGGCUGGAUUUGAUGGGAUUUUGCAACCAUCACAUUUCCCUAUGAGCUAUAUUUGGAGCCCAGCUUUCACUUGAGGGAGCCUGGAUCAUUGCCAAAUACAGACCGAUUUCUGUUGGAAGCGGUUGAGAUCAAAUUCCCAAAGCUGUUUUCCCUCUAAGGGACAAACUGAAGCAGAAUUAGCAGGGUGGGAAUCUAAACUAGCGUUUAAGCCACUGAAAAUUGCUUGGCUACAGAAUGUAUCUGAUUAGAUCAUUUACUGUAAAUAACAAUUUCCCCAGAGUUUACGAAAGAUGGUUUAGUUAUUCUUUUCCGUAUUAGCGGGAAAGGUCUCUGGGGCUUUCAAAAAGAAAAAUCCAGUUUACUCUGACUGAUAUGCCAAUGUGGAUAUGGUAACUUGAAUAUGAAUCAGCUUGCUGGUUUCUUAAAAAGGAGUGAUGGGCUUUGAGUCAGGUCUCAGACACAUGAAAGAUUCACCCAUGCUAAGUCUGAACGCUGGCAGGAAAAUGUGUGACCACUUUCAGAGCUUCAGUGUUUUAGCAGAGUCACUUAAAUACUGCAGUUGGAACAGGGGCGUAGGAGGGGGGGGGCGGACCACCUCUGGUGCCCUCACUGAGAGGGGUGACAUUCGGCGCGCUGCCCGCCCGCAACUCCCAAGCCUACCCCGAGCUGUAGGGGUAAAGGGGGAGCUGUGCCACUUUGCCAGUGGCAUUCUCCCCUUCCCCCUUUGUUUUGACAGCUUGGGAGUCAUGGGUGGGUGGCGUGCUGAAUAUCUGCCCCCAACUGCAGGGGCACGGGGCACCUGAGCGGCUAUCCCAUGCCUGGGAGGGCACCCUCCACGCCACGCCCCCCUCGGGAGCACACCUGCCCUGGGCUGCAUGGGCAUAUGCUGAAUUUAAGGCCUAUUGAGCAACAUCUGCGUCAAAGCCAAAUUUGUCUCAAACUUGCCAACCUGCCCCUUUAAAAUAGAUAUCAAAAAAAUAAACCCAGCAUUACAAUAAAUAAUAAACAGCAGGCUGCAGGAACAAAUUUAAAACCACCUCAGUGUAAUUAGGGUGUAUCUAUUGAUUUUAUUCAUCUGGGGUACAAGCUUAUGGCCACUUACCUGUGUCUCCUUGGGAAUCAGGGGGGUUUACUUCUAAGUAGAGGGACGCUGGUGGCACUGUGGGUUAAACCACAGAGCCUAGGGCUGGCGGAUCAGAAGGUCGGCAGUUCGAAUCCCCGUGACGGGGGCUCCCAUUGCUCGGUCCCUGCUCCUGCCAACCUAGCAGUUCAAAAGCAUGUCAAAGUGCAAGUAGAUAAAUAGGUACCACUCCAGCGGGAAGGUAAACAGCAUUUCCGUGUGCUGCUCUGGUUCACCAGAAGCGGCUUAGUCAUGCUGGCCACAUGACCCGGAAGCUGUACGCCGGCUCCCUCGGCCAAUAAAGCGAGAUGAGCGCUGCAACCCCAGAGUCAGCCACGACUGGACCUAAUGGUCAGGGGUCCCUUUACCUUUACUUUACUUCUAAGUAGGUUUAUCCUGUGGGUCAAUUUCUGUGCAACCCUACAACAGAAAAAUCCGCAGGGUGGCCUACAAAAAUGAGGAAAAUGCAACAAUAAAAUCAAGAGUAAAAGAAAAGCAACAGCAACUUUAAAAGUUGAAGUACUGGUUAAAAUUGGCAGCAACAAAACCACUGACUCUUAAGACAAGGGGAAUAAAAUACCGAUAUGACUUGCCAUGCCAGCAAACAUUUAUUCUCACAGGCUCUUUAGCUUGCCCAGAAUAUUUUGUUAGUGCUGCAGCUACAUAAUCUGGUGCAAGCAUUAAGAUGGGACUCCACACUUACUCUGACUAGCCAUGUGCUAAGAUUCUACUUCUAUACAACCUAUACCCAGGUGAGGGACCACCUUUUAAAUAAAACACAGAACCAAGGAAUCAAGUACAGCAGCCAGUUAAAGAGCCGAGUUUAUUAGAUGCUAUUGCAAUAGGAUGGAGCCCAACUCAACGUGGUUGUUUUAACCAAAUUGCCAUUUAAGAAGAAGGUCUGCUCUGAGGAAAGUCAGACCAAAGCUUAUACAGUGGUACCUCGGGUUAAGUACUUAAUUCGUUCUGGAGGUCCGUUCUUAACCUGAAACUGUUCUUAACCUGAAGCACCACUUUAGCUAAUGGGGCCUCCUGCUGCCGCUGCGCCAUCAGAGCACGAUUUCUGUUCUUAACCUGAAGCACUAUUUCUGGGUUAGCGGAGUCUGUAACCUGAAGCGUAUGUAACCUGAAGCGUAUGUAACCUGAGGUACCACUGUAUAGCAACUCAAACACAGCUCACAGAGAGUCAUAAAACACCCAAACAUUCCUAAACAUCCUUCUGCAUACAUCAAGAAAGGUUACAGGUCAUGAGAAGUAAAACACGCAUUACUCCAAACUUGACCCCCACAAUUAGUUAGUCAUGACCAUUAAUUUCAACGGGUCUAUUUUGAAUAAAAUGUUAGUUGAAUGCAACCCAUUAUACUUUUACUUUUCUUUUGUUGUUUUAUAUUGUGAGCCUCCACAAAAAACAACCUAAAACAUUUCCAAUAAAGUUCUAAAAGGCUGGGCCUGUAUGUUUCUCUUUGUUUCAAAUACGUAUUCAUGGAUUUCAUUUUGGAAAGUGCACGCUCACACACAAAUCAAUAAAAUCAGAGCAUUCAACAAAACCACCCUAGGUAACACAUAUUCAUUGUGCGAUUGAUCUCCAGUCCCGAUCAACUUAUGCAAUGCUUAAAAAUGACUGAGGGGGGAGGAAAGCAAGUAGCUUGGGAAAACGAUAUGAAGUGGGGAAAUGUUCAUGUUCCCCCUGUCACCAGUUUGAUCCCAUUUUAAAUGCCACCCUCCUUUUCCCAUGAAGCUGAAUUUUCUCUAUGAAAAUAUCACAGUUCUCCUGCCAUCGCAUCUAGUUUGGACCUUUGGAAGGAUACAGCUUCUUUGCUUUCCAGCUCUCAAGCGCUACUAAAGAGGCAUGAAAAGUUUCAACGUAUAUUUACAGUGUCAUUUCCUUUGCCUUUCUUUAGUUCUGAAAUGUAAAGCAUAAGGUGCGCAAAAUGUCAGGGUUUAUCUUGAAUUUUCUACCUUUGUUUUGGGUCAAAGCCUCAACCCUCUAAGCCAAAGACAACACUAAGCAUCUACUACUGAGGUCGAUGAUCUGCAAUUUGUUGUGGUGACAGAUCCAAUAUUCUGCUAAGGAAAUAGUCAGGAUGGCUGGUAAUGCACUAUUACAGACACUGUUGGGAAAUUGGCCGAGUCCCAUUUUAUGGGAAGAAACAGAAGCGUAUUAGACAAGUGUAGAAGGAAAGAUAUAAGCUGUGGGAUGGCUGGUAACAUAGAAGAACAUUUAAUGCACACUAGCUGGUUUCUAAAAUAAUAGAUCCCUGCCCUGGUUAAGGGUGAAAAUCAGUUGUAGAAUUCAACUUCUUUCAUUCAGAAACUGAAUGAAAGAAAAAAAUUAUUUAAUUGCUUUAAGCAAGGGAUGGGGAACCAGCUGUGGACAUCCAGAUGUUGCUGUACUCUGACUCUGAUCAGCAACAAGCCAGUACAGUGGUACCUCGGGUUACAUACGCUUCAGGUUACAGACUCCGCUAACCCAGAAAUACUACCUUCAGGAUGAGAACAGAAAUCGUGCUCCGGCAGUGCGGCGGCAGCUGGAGGCCCCAUUAGCUAAAGUGGUGCUUCAGGUUAAGAACAGUUUCAGGUUAAGAACGGACCUCCGGAAUGAAUUAAGUACUUAACCCGAGGUACCACUGCAGUAAAAAAUGAUGACAGCUGCAGUCCAACAUCAUAUGGGAGACCACAGUUUCCCCUCCUGUGCUUUCAAACUUCAAAACCUGUUUCUCUUGUUGCCCCAUAAUAGGAUUACUUUUAUUUAUUUUUAUUCCAAUCAGAGCUUUAUUUUUCAUAAGAACUCAGUUCCGACACCUGAUAGUUUGGGUGCUAUUGCCAUUACAGUGGUACCUCUGGUUGUGACCGGGAUCUGUUCCGGAGGCCCGUUCGCAGCCUGAAAAGAACGCAACCCACGUCUGCUCACACGCGGGUUGCGAUUCGCCGCUUCUGCGCAUGCGCGUGAUGUCAUUUUGCACGUCUGCGCAUGCGUGAGUGGUGAAACCUGGAAUUAACCCUUUCUGGUACUUCCGGGUCACCGCGGGACACAACCUGAAAAUGCACAACCUGAAGCAAACGUAACAUGAGGUAUGACUGUAUAAGAGAACAAUGGAGGCAUUCGUGGUAAGUUCUAGCACCUCUUUUUUCUAGAAAAAGAUAGCACUGAUUCCAAUAAUUUUAUUUAUUUACUUUUAUUUUCAAUAAUUCAGUUUUCCAACUGCCCUAGUGAUCCAUUAAGCAUCUACAGCCAGAAAUUAUUCAGUAGUAGAGCAGUUUGUGAAUCAAAUUGUUCCUGUUCACUAGCUUUUAUACAUCUUCAGUAUUUCUAGAUGUAUAUUUUCCUGUUAAACCAUGUUUCCCUUAUGUGGCAUCUGUCCAAUCCAGGUAGGGGACAUACACGAGUAGAAGCGCUUAGUAUACACUUGAAUCUUAUUUGUUAUUGAUUAAGCAUACAUGAUUCCAUUAUAUCCAUUUUUGGUGUUAGUUUUCCUGGGUCGUCGUUUUGUCUACGGCAUGGUGUAGCUCAAUGAAUUACCCAUUUCUGGAAAACAACACCCUGCCACAACUUGUGUGCAUGAUUAAUGGAUCUUGCGUGUCUGCUUAACAGGCAAAAGGCAAAGUCAUUUACUCUAAAGAAUAAUUUAGGAACAGCUCUGACCCAUGAAAUUAUACAUUUAGCAAGCAUUCCAUCCUAACUACAAUAUUUUGUUUGCCAUUUAAUUUUCAUUACAUUGCGUGCAAUGUUUUGUUGCUCCUGGUCUCUCUCUCACAUAUAUAUAUAUAUUUACACACACACACACACCCCCUACAUAUACUUCUUCUUUGGCGAUCACUCAUAGCUGAGUAAGAUUGUCUUCCAUAAACACGGUUUUAACAAUGAGUCUGUAAGUGACUGUGGAGGCCAAUUCUGGAUCCGCAGGACUGCUAUCAAGGAAACCUGCAUGGGAUUGUCGCUUAAGUCGUGGCAUUUCUGGGAAGGAGGGGGAGAUUUCCGUAACAGGAAGAGGUGGGUUGCAGCCUGCACAUAUGGUUCCCAGCGUUGACAGGGAAAGAUAGCCUCCAGGCAUGCAGAUCCAAAUUAUAAAUGCCUAAUGUAUCGUGGCUUUAGUGCGCCAUGCAUUAGCAAACCCCUGUAGUAGAAGGAAAUAUAAUUUUACACCUGUGAAUAUCCCUUUCAGUCUGCUAAAUAAAUAUUUGCCGAGUCAAGGAUUAGAGAUGUUUGAUCUGGAUGCCGACUAUGAAUUAUCGUAUGCCUGGCCAGGUCUCAGCCAGGUGUUAAUAGUCCCCACCUGCCCUCUUUAUGAUUGCACAUUGCCAUUCAGAGAUCUCUCCAAUGAAGCUUCAAGGGGUGGAUUUAGAUUUCCCUUCAAACCUUCACUUCUUUUCCUUGUUGAAAAAGAACCAUACGCAGUGUGAUGUUAAGCAGGUGAGUGGCCCUUGCAUGCUUGGUUUUCGUUUACUAAAUAGUACCUGUGGAAAAGGGGUGGUUAAAAUUAGGAGCGUGGUGUGAGGGGAGAGGAGAGGAUUUACCAUGCAUUGCCCCUGCUGUGGUUCCACUCAGGAUCAAGGUAUUUGUUCCACAGUGAAAGCUGCUAUCGGUGCCAAGGGCAGGUGGCAAAAAAUGACCACAGGGAGGACUGAUCUAGAUUGAUGUGGAAAGGAUCCAGAUCGUGUCGUGUGUGUCGUGAUACAUUAGCGUGUCAGCUGCAGUAUGUAGGUGUGUCAUGCGAGUGCUCCCCACACUCCUCCCGGGGCUGGAAAGGGGUUAGUUUAACCUCCGGUUUGCUAGUAAAACUGAAUUGCUGUGUUGCAAAAUGAUGCACGUCUAAAAAGAGAGCUUAAAAAAGUGAAUGCUCUUGGGCUGCAUUUUCAGAAGCAUAGUGUCCAGAUUGUGAGACCAAGUCCACUGGACAGGAUAUAUCUGGGGUACCAAUGUUGGCACCAGAGGUUAAGGAGGACAUCAACAGACUGGAGCUUGUCAAGGGAAGAGGGGUGAGGAGUCUGGCUACUAUGCCCUAUGGGAAAUGGUUGAAAGUGUUGGGCAUGUUUAACCUGCAGACAAGAUUAAGAAGAGGCAUGAUCCCUUCCUUCAAUUAUAAGAAGGGCUGUCCUGCCUAGUAUGGAGCAGACUUGUUCUGCACUAUAACUAAUGGGUGGGAAUUGUAAAGGAGCAGAUGUCAGCAAAAUAUAGCAUUGCGGUAAGAUCUGCUCUGCUGGUGGUAUGGGAGCAGAGCUUGGAUAAGCAUCUUUCAGGGAUGCUGUAGUUACCUCUUUCCUUGAAUAUCAGGGAUGGAGAACCUGUGGUCCUCCAGAUGAUGUUGGACCGCAACUCCCUUCCUCUCUAGCCAUUGGCCAUGCUGGUUGGGGCUGAUGGGAGUUGAAGUCCAACAACAUCUGGAGAGCCGCAGUUUCCCCAUCCUUGUUGUAGAACCUGCAUUGAACUAAAUUGGGUGCGGAGAACCGUUGGGUUUCCAGAUGUUGCUCAGCUACAACUCUGUUGGCCAUGCUUGGUAUGGCUGAUGUGAGUUGUAAUUCAGCAACAUCUAGAGCAGAGUUUCCCAAACUUGUCUUGAGCUGUUUUGGGACUACAAUUCCCAUCAUCCCUGACCUCUGGUCCUGCUAGCUAGGGAUGAUGGGAGUUGUAGUCCAAAAACAGCUGGAGAACCAAGCUUAGGAAACCCUGAUCUAGAGAGCCAAAAGGUUACUCACUCCUGGAUUUAUUGAUCUCUGAGUUCCUUUCCAGAUCUUAAAAUCCUAUGUUUCUAGAACUGUGGCAUGGUUAAAUCCCCCUCAACACCCACCCACACCAAGGUCCCAAUCCAGAUAGACCUGCUCUGUUGUAGAUAAAAUCGAAGCAAUCAAGGGCCAAGCACGUGCUUAACAUCACAUCUAAUUUGCCCCUGAGAUUACCUUUAUGGUAAUGCAGCACAUAGCCUCCUGCAGAACAUCAUGCCUGUUUGUGACACUACUUAACAUACUUCAGACUUAGCAAAGGCGUCAAGCUGAAAUGCCCUUCUUUUUACAGGCUCUCCUUUCUAUUUCACAAUUAGCAUGUUAAGAACUGCAAUCAAAUAGACUAUAGUCGUCCUCCCACUUAAAAUCAAUGGGAAAGUUUACAGCAAUGUAGAUUUUUAGUGCUGCCAAACCGCUUGCCUCAUUUCCUCUUUGAAGACACCUGUGCCUCGGGGCAUAAUUAUGCUUUUUCCAUAUGAUUUCAUGCCACGUUUUGUUCAUCAAGAAGAGACACGUUUAAGCGAAAGGGGGCUUGUGCCACCCAAAUGAUUUCCUCUCAUCUUCGAACCUGCCAUGAUCCUGUGAUCACAGCAUUCGUUAAUGUCAGAGCCACAUUUUUAUUAUUUUUAUUUUUUAGCAAAAGGUUUCGGGACCUGCAGAGAACAGUAAUUUUCAGACAGGUGGGAAACGUGGGCGGCUGUGUCUGCAAGACAGAACAUCAAACACAAAUGCUGCAGACCCUGGGAAAAUAGCAGUGGGGAGCUGCGAUAUUAGAAAAGUUCAAAGGUGUGUUGUCCCUUGACAACUGGCAAUGGGAAGCUGAUAUAAUAAAGAACUCGGAGAGGGCACUUUCUGAAUACUUCUUCAGAAACAUUUUAAAGCUAGGGCCUGUAAAAGACUGUCUUUGGAGUGUCCUUUUCAUAGACAUUGAGGGGUACUAGCCAGUAUGUGAAAGGCGCUGUGGUCUAAACCACUGAGCCUCUUGGGCUUCCCGAGUGGAAGGUCAGUGGUUUGAAUCCCCACGAUGGAGUGAGCUCCCAUUGCUCUGUCCCAGCUCCUGCCAACCUAGCAAUUCGAAAGCACACCAGUGCAAGUAGAUAAAUAGGUACUGCUGUGGCGGGAAGGUAAAUGGUGUUUCUGUGCGUUCUGGUUUCUGUCAUGGUGUUUCAUUGCAUGGGAAGCGGUUUAGUCACAUGACCCAGAAAGCUGUCUGUGGACGAACGCCAGCUCCCUCGUCCUGAAAGAGUCGCCUUGGACUGGACUUAACCGUCCAGGGGUCCUUUACCUUUGUUUACCUACCAGUCAGUUUCUUCAUACUGGGUGGCAUUCAACUGAGUCCUACUCAGAGUACACCGGCUGAAAUCAAUGAACUUGACUGAGGCCACAUUCACACUACAGAUUUAAAGCACUAUGAUACCACUUCGAACAGACAUGGCUUCCCCCAAAGAAUUUUGGGAGCUGUAGCUUUUUAAGGGUGUCCUUGGGUGGAAACACUCUGUUCCCCUCAUAGAGCUGCAAUUCUCAAAGAUGUUUAACAGUCAAUUCAUCUUUGAAGGAAAUCAUGGGAAGGGAAUGUUUUCUGCUGCGUACAGACAGGUUGUGCACAUUUUCCCUCACAAAUAUUGCAUGCAUCCUCUGUGCUUCUCAGAUGCUUUUCUCAUUUCUCUAGGAACAUAUGUGAUGAUCCCUGAAGCUGUAAGAGACCAAAAAGCCAACCAGUCCAGAAACACUACUAAAAAUGCAAGGAACAGCUAUCCUGUCUCAUCAACAGCUGCAUUCUGUUCCACCAAGGAAAAUGCAGGUCAUAUUGGCCAUUAUUUUUCUCCAUAGUCCAGGCCAGCAAUUUGAAAGGCACGUCUUAUGGUUUACUGCCUAUUCCCCACAGCUUUGAGGCAUCUCACCACUGUCUCUCUACUGAACGAAAGGAUUCCUAUUUAAGUGAAGAUCAAUCAGGGCUGCCGCAGUCAAACUUCUUAGGUACGUAUUACUUUCCAGCACCGACGUGGAAAGGAACAACCACAUUGCAUUGAAAUUCAGAUCAGCUUCCAUUGCUGAAUCUCCAAUUAAUUGCAUUUUAAUUAUUCUGUCAAUUUUCAUGUUGAAGCAGAAAGCCCAUUCUUUCAGAUUUGCUCCUGGUUGUUGUAUUCAUUUCAACAUAUGCCUGAUAUGUCAGAAGACACAAGACGUUGAAAAGAAAAAAAGGAAAACAAUUACAGGGGCAACAGUUUCCUAUUUUCUUUAUAGUGUUUACUGUAAUGUAUGUGGGAGUUUUUCUGUCAGUUCGGAGGCAGUGAGUUGGAAUCACAAGUGGAAAUAGUGCUGUUGUGCUCAGGUCCUGCCUGUGUGGGCUUCCAUAGGCACCUGGGCGGCUUCCAACAAAAGAUUAAAAGUACAUUAAAACAUCAGUCAUUAAAAACUUCACUAAACAGGGCUGCCUUCUUCUAAACGUCAGAUAGUUUGUUCCCUUGACAUCUGGUGGGAGGGUGUUCCACAGGGCGGGCGCCACUACCGAGAAGGCCCUCUGCCAGGUUCCCUGCAACUUCGCUUCUCGCAGUGAGGGAACCGCCAGAAGGCCCUCAGCGCUGGACCUCGGUGGAAGGGAAACUGUGUUGUUACAGAGGAAACAAGGUAAGGAACUGGUUUUUUUAGCAGUAUGCCCUGUGAGGUUUUAGAACCAUAUCUCUAAUAUUGUUCUAAUAAUGUUAAAAAGAUCAGUGUAGAUCCAGCUCAAGGAUCUUGUUACAUUCUUAUGCAGGCCACUGAAGUGUUGUUGUUGUUGUUGUUGUUGUUUUAUACUCUGCACAUCUGACUGGAGAAAUGUUGGAAGGGGUGUCCCUAUCAUCAUCUCUAUUUUCUCAGGAAAAUGUGGAGGGUACGGAGUAGGAUGUUCCUUUUUUCAUCAGAGAUAUUUUAGAAGGUAUGCUCUUCUUUUUAUCUGUAAAUCACCAUGAGUUCCUGUCAGGAAAAAAGGCAGGGUACAGAUAAAUAUAAAUACAGUGGUAUCUUGGUUCUCAAACUUAAUACAUUCUGGAAGUCUGUUCCAAAACCAAAGGGUUCUAAAACCAAGGUGUGCUUUCCCAUAGAAAGUAAUGCAAAAUGGAUUAAUCGGUUCCAGACUUAUAUAAACAACCCCAAAACAGCAAUUUAACAUGAAUUUUACUAUAUAACGAGACCAUUGAUCCGCAAAAUGAAAGCAGUAAUCAAUGUACUGUACUAUAAAAUAAAUAAGACAGUAUUGUAGAUGAUAAAAAUUAAAAUUAUUUUUUUUUCUUAUGUGCAUUGAUGAUAGUCAUUGUUUGGAUGGGGGGCUUUUAUCCAUUUCUGCAGUCACACAAUCAACCAGUAGCUGAACUGGGUUCCACACAGUCACAAAAACAAGUCACAAAAAUGAAGUCACAAGCCACAGUCACAAGACAGUCCCAAAUAACAAGUCACAAGUAAAAAAAAACGAAAAAGCCACACAAACAAAAACGCAAAGAAAUAGCAAAAACAAAAGCUCCAAAUAUCACCUCUGUGUUGCGUGGGUGCUUGGGACUCAACAGCCUACAGACUCAACAGGAAGCCUCUGAUUAGCAGCGGGGGACUUAAUUUCUCAAACAGAAGACACGCAACAGGAAGUGGGACAUGUUCCGCUUCCAAGGCAAAGUUCAUAAACCAGAACACCUACUUCUGGGUUUGCAUCAUUCUAUUUCCAAGCUGUUUAUAAACUAAGCUGUUCUAAAACCAAGGUACCACUGUAUAAUAACGAUAAUGAUAAUAACCCCAGUGUCUGGGCUAAAAGAUGAAGGUGGCGACACUCCUCCAGAUAUACGGGGCUGAGACAAUUUAGGGCUUUAAGGGUCAGCACCAACACUUUGAAUUGUGCUUGGAAACAUACUGGGAGCCAAUGUAGAUAAUUUAGGACUGGUGCUGUAUGGUCCUGGCAACUCCUCCUGCUUGAGCUCAUGGUGGUAAAGUUUGCAAAAACCAUGAUCAGGAGUCACAAGUCUACUGCAUGGGUAGACAAAGUAAGGCCCGGGGGCCGGAUCCAUCCCAAUCACCUUCUAAAUCCAGCCCAUGGACGGUUUUUAGAUGAAUAUAAUGUGUCCUUUUAUUUAAAUGUGUCCUUUUAUUUAAAAUGCAUCUCUGGGUUAUUUGUGGGGCAUAGGAAUUCGUGCAUUUUUUCCCUUCAAAAUAUAGUCCAGCCCCCUACAAGUUUUGAGAGACAGUGAACCGGCCCCCUGCUGAAAAAGUUUGCUGACCCCUACUCUACUGCUUUUAAUUCCAAAGGUUGUAUCCAUUGCUCCCAUGACACUAGCAGAUCAGUUUUUCCUCCAGGCAUUUCAAGGCUGCUUGCAUUUUUCAUCCUUCCUCCUCAUCUUACUCCUCACAGCAACCCUUUGGGCAUGUUAAGCUGAAAGAAAAGGUCUGAGCUUCCUGGCUGAAUGGGGAUUUCAGCGCUGGUCUCCCAGGUCAGAAGGGCCAUUAACUCAGCAGUAGAACAUCAGCUUCGCAUUACCACUGCAGUCUGCAGAACUGGCAUUGUUGCAGGUGCUACACAAUGGCCAUGCAGCACUUGUAGGAAAUUGAUAUUUUGACAUGGCAGCACACACACACACACACACACACAGACACACCGGAACUCGCUGCCUAUGGUAAAGGUAAAGGAAAAGGACCCAUGGGUAGUUAAGUCCAGUCAAAGGCGACUAUGGGGUUGCAGCGCUCAUCUCGCUUUCAGGCCGAGGGAGCUCCCAUUUAUCUACAGAUCUGGCAUUUGUCCACAGACAGCGUUCCAGGUCAUGCGCCCAGCAUGACUAAACCACUUCUGGCACAACGGGACACCGUGAUGGAAACCAGAGCACAUGGAAAUGCUGUUUACCUUCCUGCCACAGCAGUACCUAUUUAUCUACUUGCACUGGUGUGCUUUCGAACUGCUAGGUUGGCAGGAGCUGGGACAGAGCAACAGGAGCUCACCCCAUUGCAGGGAUUUGAACUGCUGACCUUCUGAUUGGCAAGCCUAAGAGGCUCAGUGGCUUAGACCACAGCGCCACCUGCGUCUAUGGACACUGUGCUGACGCUUGCUUCCACUGUACUGUUUCUGGCACCUGCUAAAAACCUUUUUGUUCAGGCAAGUCCAUCAAGACAAGUAAGAGUUGACAUGAUUUUAGCUUAACUCUUGAUUUUAAAUCUAUUUUGAAUGUUUAAAUACCCGCCUCUUUUAUUACAAUUUUAAUUUUUUGAAGUAAAAUUUAAUAUCUGUUUACAAUCAAGCGGUAUAUAAUUUUCGUUAAAUUAAUCAAUAUUCUUACAUUGGUCACUGAGCUAUAUUUACAGUGUGCAAAUUAAGAUUUUGAAAGUUUGCAGAUGUGGAAAUUUGACUGGCAAGAAGAAGAAGAAAAGAAAGUGAUUUAUAGUAUUUGGGUACCAGUUUUUCCUUAGCAAACCAAAGCUAGCCCAUGUGAUGUAAAUGGAAGAUCAUUUGUUACAACUUUGCACAAUGAUGGUAUCUAAGUCCCCAAAUUGCCCAAUCCAGCCAAAGCUUCUAGAAUAAAUGAAGGAAUAAACGAGAUUUUCUCUUGAUGUGUGUAGGUUGAUCACUCCCCCCCCUCCCGUUUUAUUAAUUACAAGAAUGACUAAAAUAAGAUUUGUAAAGAUAUGCAGUCAGGGCCCCAAGAUAUUUCAUGAGUGAGAUCAAUGACUCUUUUGUUAGCUACAACGAGUCAUUUACAACAUCAAAGUCCUCUGGAAAGAAAGUGCAUUUUGUUCUCUGCUCUUAAUGGUAAUGCCAACUAAGAUUCUUCGAUGGCACACCCUCCACAAUGUGGAACCAAUGAUAGCAAAAUGCUUUGCUUUAUCUUCGGUGUGAAAGCAAUUGCUUUUUCUCACAUUGCAAGCCCCUCAAAGAAAGCUUUAAGCCCCCAUUAAGGCUUCUAUCACUGGAUUCAAGUUGAUCCCUUACUGCCAAGCAGAAGAAUCUGUUAGGAGCCAAUAAUGUCUUUCGGCUUUUAAUGUGCCACUGACUGACUGAAGGUACUCUAACAAAUCUCCCAUGAGCUUCAACGUUAGGCCAUGAACCUGCUAAUCAAUGUGGCAGAGAAGUGGAAAAGAUGGCGAAACUAAGAGAGAAGCUGCCAUCAUUUUUUCCCCUUGGAGUGCAACAUGCAGAGUAUUUUCAGCUUCCAUAUAUAUAUAUAUAUAUAUAUAUAUAUAUAUAUAUAUAUAUAGUAUAUAUGCAUGCAUGGCCAUGCUCCUGGAUUGAAGCCAGCAUUACAAGGAUAUAACUUAUAAGUACAACAAGCUGCAAAAUAAUUAGAGUCAUUAAAAUUGACCGUGAGAAUGCUGCAGGUAAUGAGAAUUCAAUGCAUGUGUGUUUUACAGAUACUAAAAUUUCUCUUAACACAUCUUCUCAGGUACACAGGAGGAAAAGCAAGCUAGCCUGCUAAACCAAAAUUUCCAUGGGAUUAAGGUGGGAUUCCCUAUAGCUUCAUAUAAAUACCACAAUUUAAUGGUUGAAACAGAUUUCAAAGGAUGCUGAUUACUGUUUGAUUUUAUAGGCGAGUAAGUAAUUCGAGGGGGGGGAGUUUCUCUUUCCUUAAAAACAAAAUCGAAGCUUCAAAGCUACACCUAUUUAAAAGGAAAUUAUGAAAGUAUGGUAACAUUUAAAGGGCAUAACAGUAAAUGUGUCUGAUAUGUGUUUGCUUGUGCUUACAUUUAAUAUAUGGUUUAAUAUAAGGAUUAAGUGCAGACUUAAUCCAAAAAUGGAGUUUGAAUGGAAGAUGUUCUCAGCAUUCUUGAACUGUAUCAAUACCUAGAUGAGUCAGCAGUGUGUUUAUAGUUUUCGGUAAAAGUGUCUUCUAUAAAUGGCGUAUACAGAAUGGAGGGAGAUGAGACUUCAAUGAUCUGGUAAGCAGAGCAGCGAUGUAACCUACCAGAGAUCAAAUAAGUGUUGCUGCCCCACCAUGCGGCAGUAGCUACUGGUUGGCACCCUGACAAUUUUUAGUGAGUCAUCUGGCAAUGGGGCUGUGCUCUAUAAACUGUGUAGACAAGAUAAAAGCACAAUGACACAUUUUGCAUCUACAGUAACUGUUAAGACGGGGCAUUUCUGCAGAGAGAAUACUAUGACUUGUCAGGGAGAUUCGGGUCUGUUUCGUGUUCUCAUCCAUUUAGAUUUUAUAUAAUUUCAUUCAGGUUCAUGUAAAUUAAUUUCAUGUUAACAUUUGUUAAAAGGGGAGCAAAACUCUUGAAAAGGACAUGUUGUGAUUUGUCAGGGGAAAUCGGACUGCGACUUUUUAAAGUAUCCUAUGUUAUUUUAUUUGGGUCUGAGAGAACUGUUAUUAAGGUUACCUUGAGAAACGUUUGUUUCGUGAUGGUCCAAUGGCUAGAUACAAAUGAAUGAAUCCAAUCUGACCACUAUUUUGCAUUUUCAACAAUGUCCCAGAUUCCAGGGUAAUAAAGGCUGCCACUGCCACCACACACGGAUAAGGUAGAAUAUUCAGAUAAAACGCUGUAAAAUAGCCUCUUUUGCUGGGGAGGGCAGGGGUGAGAAAAAUGAAAACCUUAAGGCAUUUUCUGACAGAAAUGGCUUCUGAGAACUUUUGACUCAGCCUUCCUAGUAAAACAUGUAUUGACUGCUGGGGAAAAAACACAAAACAAUUCAUGCUUUCCUUCCUUUUGCCCAGCUUUCGACUAUCCGUUUUUCAUUUCUGAAAGCUGCCUUUUGGAAAUAUAUUUGGGGGAAAUUGUUAAAGGAAAUGAUGUUGCUAUAACAUUGCUUUAACACACUGAAACUACUGGGAAGACAUGAAAAGGUGUUCCCAGACACAAUUGGGAUGAGUUUUAUUUCACUGCUGUUUUCUGCACCGUAUGCUAGAUAAAGUAAAAAAAAAAAAAAACCAAACAAAAAACCCACUAUGUAUUGUGCUCCAAACCUUUUAUUUCUCACAUUGGUGUGUUCUGCCUGUUAUCUCAAAAUAUGUAUCCUGAGUUCUGGCUGAAAGCAGAGCGGCUCCUGGAAACACACAACAAGAUGCUGCCCUUUGUGGUCCUUAAUAACAUUAGAAAUGUGAAUGCGUUGCCAAAAGGACUUACAUAAAGCAAUCAGGAAAUACAGUAUUGCCUGUCAGCCAUUGGAGAACUUUGGUGGAUGGCCUGAAUUUAAUAAAAGGUUUGUGAAAACGUUUUUGAUAAUAAUGCUACUCAGGCAUAGGGAUGGAGGCAAAAUUCAAAUUAGUUCAUAUUUAAACACUAACUUACCUGUUCCAUGUUUUCCGAAACAACAGGCAAACCAAAACACAGCCAUCCUUUGAAUUUUGCACUUCACUGAAUUUCCCGUCGCAGUUUUCCAGCCAAGUAUUGUGUACCAAAAUACAUAUACAAGGGGAAAGUGCAUAAAAUGUAUAUAUUAGUGAAAAUAACAUACAGAAAUGCAUUGUAUUGGGGGGAAAUGCUAUGCAAAAAUGUGUAUGUUAGGCAAAAUUGCAUGUAAACAGGCUUGUUGACAGAAAUUCUCGCUAAGACGCUGGUGAAUUUUUAAGAGCACUUUUUUUAAAAAAAAAAGUAAACUGAUGUGGAGAUCCAGAGAUCCAAAAUUAAGAUUGGGGGAAAAUGAGAAACUAAAAGAAAAAAAAUGGACAGAUUUGCCCAUCCAGACUUGGGCACAGCUCCCACUUCUCCUUUCAUUUGUACACUGACCUAAUUUCUACCUGACUGAAUUCUAAUCCUAACAAUUUUAAUAAACCAAGACGUAGCAAAAUUAAUUUGGGUCGGGGGAUGUCAAUUUUUUUUGAACCUUAUGUCAUCAUUCUGUAUGUGCCUUAAGUGCUGACUCAAGAGUAGAUCGUGUGCAGCAUUCAUUCUGCCUGGCCCUGAAAAGGAUAUCUAAUGUUUCACUCUGUCUUAUGAUUACUGGCUAGGCAAAAGCAGUAUUGAUUUAGCACUCAACCACCUUCUUUCUCCUAGCUGCAUUCUGACAAAGCUUAAACUAGAGCUGUCAUGCUAUGCUUAUUUACUAGGUACGAGAGCAGACUGUUCUUUGUUUCGGGAGGGAAUUUGUUCUCUGGAAAAAAAUAAAAGUAAAGCCAAAGAUGAUUUAAAACCUAGGUCUACAGUUUGUCUAUCUCCUUAAAGUUUCUGAUAAAGUCACUGAGUCACCAUAUUCAAACAACCCAGGAAACACAAGCUAAGGUGUCGAUCAUUCCAGGAAAAAGAGUGUCAGAAAUUUCACAUCACGUAGGAGAAUUAUUUAGUGGCACAGCCAGCGCCCGGCCGGCCAUGAAUUAGACAGAGGCAGCUGCCUCAGGCGGCAGAAUCCAAGGGGCACUUUCAUGGGCUGGAGAAAGGAGGAGAUGUGGCUGCAGCAAAAUCUCACAAGGGCCCCACGAGAUCUUGCAAGAGGCCUGCUAGAUAGUGCACACAACCUUCCCAAGAUACUGGUGAGACAGCUCUCACAGGACCUCACCAGAACCCACAGCCACAGGACCCCAAUAAGCUAGGCUGAGGUGGAGGCAAGGGCAGGCAAGCACAGGUGGGUGGCACAAAGCGUUCAGCACUACACCUUCCUGUUUUGCCUCAAGGAGAAAAACGGGACAGGCCACUUCUGGAGACAGCAGCUGAUAUUCCGUGAUAUUUGAUGACCUGUGCCACAAAUCCGUUUUAAUGAACAUAUCAGAGUGCUCUGUAAAUGAUAGUUGAAGCCUUUAUCGAUCAACUUUUGUGCUCUUCCACACCCUCCCGAUGUUCCUGGCCCUUAUUCUUUUAGCUUCUUUUAAAUUCUUAUAGACUUUUAUAUUCACCUGGUGUUUUAAUACCUUUUAGCUUUCUAACGGGCUUUUUAGAUUUUAAAUGCUGGUCUAUGACCGCAAUAAAGAUUUGUAUUGUAUUGAUGUCUUUAAGCACCGUUUUGAAGACUUUCCAUCUGCCAACAUCGCCCAUAUGGGUUUUAGUUUUUUUAAAAAUGUAUGCAACUACAGCAGCUCGGACUUUGUUAGCCCCAAAAUGGAGGGUCACAGAGGUCCCUAUAAGGAGGAAUCACAAUUUAAAUUAAAGAAUAUGAAGGGUUAGCAGGCCUGACCAAUGGAAUGAGAGAGCAAGUAUAUAAAGAAGAGUAGAUUUUUGUGUGUGAAAUAUUUGGAAAAUAACAGUGAACAAGUGAAAACAGGAUUAAGGUAAAUUCAACCAUAUAAUGUACAAUAAAGAAAUACGAUUGGGGCGAAAUUAAAUUAAAUGGUUUUAUCAGAGUAUGCAGAUAUUAUGUGAAAAGAAAAGGAACCAUGGAAGGGGAAGAAGGGAAGUCGAGGAAUGUAUUAUUACAAUGAUCUAUAUUUAAUGGUGGAAAUGUAUAUUUGAAAACUUUAAUUAAAAUUUAUAUUUAAAAAAGCAUUGACUGUGUGGGAAGUCAUGAAAGAUUUUUUUAAAAAAAGUCAAAAAAACAUAAAUAAAUCAAUGAUUUUAAGCAGAGAGUUGUGUAAAUUCUAUUCUGUACUCAUGAAUUUAUUUCAGGGCAGAUCUCACCCUUUCCAGUAGAGUUCCAACAGUCCUAUAAAUGUCAAAUACAGUGGUACUUGGAUUACAUACGCUUCAGGUUACAUACACUUCAGGUUACAGACUCUGCUAACCCAGAAAUAUUACCUCGGGUUAAGAACUUUGCUUCAGGGUGAGACCAGAAAUUGUGCUCCGGCGGCAGCAGGAGGCCCCAUUACCUAAAGUGGUGCUUCAGGUUAAGAACAGUUUCAGGUUAAGAACGGACCUCUGGAACGAAUUAAGUAGUUAACCCGAGGUACCACUGUAUAACAAAAUGGUAACCAACUUAAACAAAUCUCUCUCUCUAUAAAUAUUUUUUCAUCUCAUCCACAGAUUUAAUCAUUAAUACUUACAUAGGAACAUAUCACGUAAUAAACCUCUCAUUUGUUCUCUACAGGUUAAUCUAGAAUGAGGAAGGACAAGGGUUGGAAUUUUAAUCUUGCUGGGAUUUGGGUCAUUUCCGUCCUUGAUGUUUCAGAAAUAAUUUCUUUAUAACAUCCUUUUAGGCUUCAAACAUCAAUCCAUCAUCCAGUUAUGCCUACUGAAAGCCAGUUGUCAUCAAUGUCUCCUAAGCAGGGAUAAACAGUCAGACUAGGUAACAGUGGUCCAAAAUGGAUAUGAAGUCCAUCAGGCUUGAAAUAAAUCUUUCUUCAAGUAACUGGAGUUUCCUCCUCUCCUUUUUCCAGACAAAGAGUAUGACAUCAUAUAAAGCACAUUCCUCAGUAUGUCUCCACCCUGUUUUCUCAUGCCCCUGCCAAAUAUAGCAGGCCUUUAGCUAGAAAAUAAGAGUGGGAUGGAGAUAACUUGAAAUCAUGGGAACACCAUCUACACAUUAGCGUUCCUACACUUUCAAAGCAUCGCUAUGAAUAAAGGGGUCAAGGUGCUAUUGAAAAUUCUCAUCCAGCCAUUUGUAUCUCUAGAGAGCUCACACAUUGUUCCCUCCUAUUUGAUUAAUCCGCAAGAAAGAAAGAAAUAACUGAUGUUAGUAGCUGAAAUGCAGUGAUGUCUUGGCAUUCAGAAGCAAAUCUAUUUAGAGGAGAUGUAAUUUAACAGAAGAACUUUGGGAAAUUUGUCUCGUUACUUCAAAACAGAAAGCUUCGGCCUAGGCAUUAAGCCAAGGGAAUCUGUCCAAUGAAAUCUGCAAGUCAUUCAUACGUUUGAGAUAAUAACCUGAAGUACAAAUGCAGAGCUUGCCUACAGUGCAAAAGUAAAUUUAAAAUAACACAGAGAUUCCUGAAGUCCAGCUGAUUUCAGAAUGCCCUAGUACAGGGGUCAGCAAGGUUUAUCUUGCUUGGGCUGGAUUGGUCCUGCAAAGAUCCCUCUGUGGGCCGGAUCAUAAGCCCACCUGAGAUUUUUGGCACCUGCGUCUGUGCAGACACAAUUUUCAGCAUCUGAGCAUGCUCAGAUGUGAUUUUCUGCACUGCGGAAGCGUGUCCCUGUGCUGCACUGUGCCAGUUUAGAGUAGUGCGCAAGUGGGCAGCUCGGUUCGGGGGUGGCUUGUGGGCCAGUCAAACGACCUCCGCAAGCCGCUUCUGGCCCAUGGGCAUUCGACUGCUGACCCCUGCCCUAGUACAUAACUAUUUGAUACUUAAAACAGUGUGAAAUUAUGGCACAGUUCCACUAAUAAUAAUAAUAAUAAUAGUGCUAGUAACAGUCCUGAACCCACACUCUUAGUUUGAAUUCUGACAGGUGUUUUGUAAGAUUCUUAGCACCCUUAACAAAGUACAGUUCCCAGGAUUAUUUGGGGGAAGCCACGACUGUUAAAGUGGGGUCAUAGUUCUUUAAAGGUAUAGUGUGGAUGUGGCUGCAGAUAUCAGUCAGAGGACUGUAAGCCAUUCAGAUCAGAUCAUUCUAACAGUCUUGCUUCUUUUUUGACACAAGCUUUAAACUGGCAUCUUCUUCUUUUAGGAACAUGUGAAGCUGAACAACUGGCUAUCGUCUGCUGAACUCAGUCUUGCCUUCACUGGCUGAAAGUUGUCCUCCAGAGGUUCAGAUAGGAGUAUUUUUCAAGUCUACCCAGAGAUGCCAGGGACUGAGCUGGAGGCUUUUUGCACAUAAAUGCACAUUGUGUGCUCAGUCAUGAAGAUAAGAUCCUUUAGUCUGUUUUGUCCUGGUUUCCUUCCCAGAUAGUGCAAUCCUGGUUCAGGAAUGAGGACUGAAGUGUAGUUUGUAGAAGGGGAAUUUCAGGUUCACAGUAGCUUCAGGAAAGUUGAAAGAAAACACAGUAUUCACAGAAAUACCUGAAGGAGCAUCUUCACCCCCAUCGUUCAGCCUGGACUCUGAGGUCCUGCUCUGAGGGCCUUCUGGCGGUUCCCUCACUGUGAAAAAUAAAGUUACAGGGCCUUCUUGGAAGUGGCUCCUGCCCUGUGGAACGCCCUCCCACCAAAUGUCAAGGAAAUAUACAACUAUCUGACUUUUAGAAGACAUCUGAAGAUAGCCCUAUAUAGGAAAGUUUUUAAUGUUUGAUGUUUUAUUGUGUUUUUAAUAUUCUGUUGGGAGCCACCCAGAGUGUACAUUAGGCAGAUUUGUGGAGGAUGCAACCGUUCACCAAAAUAAUCAAAUAAACCCUUAUAUCCAGAAACAAUAUACCUCUUGAGGAUGAACGGUGGGCCAAUGCUAUUGCCUUCAUGUUCAGUUGCCAUCACUGAAAGCCAGACGGACCCUUGGUAUGCCGUGACAAGAAUCUUUUUAUGUUCUUAUACACUUUUGUUAUUGUUGAGAAUUUGAGGUGUUGGUUGGGUGACCUUUUGGGGGAGGGGUCCUUCCAACACUGGUUGAAAGAGUUGGAUCUACUGAAGUGGUUGAACCAUGAGGACCUCUGGAAAUUACCUUAAUUGCUGUGAGAAGUAUCUUCUUUGUUAUAUAGAUUGAAGGCAAAUAGCACGCAGUGACUAAGGGGAUGUGCAGAGGUUGUUCAAGAGGGUUUGGGUUGCUGUUUUAAGUGAUAUAACCUGCUUUGUGCUUGAACAAAGUACCUGCAUUUUAUACAUACAUAAGCAAGGGGAGAGACGUGGGUGGCGCUGUGGUCUAAACCACUGAGCCGCUUGGACUUGCCAAUCAGAAGGCUGGCAGUUUGAAUCCCUGCGACGGGGUGAGCGCCAGUUGCUCUGUCCCAGCUCCUACCAACCUAGCAGUUCGAAAGCACACCAGUGCAAGUAGAUAAAUAGGUACUGCUGCAGUGGGAAGGUAACCAGUGCUUCUGUCAUGGUGUCCCGUUGCACCAGAAGCAGUUUAGUCAUGCUGGCCACAUGACUCGGAAAGCUGUCUGUGGACAAACGGCGGUUCCUUUGGUCUGAAAGUGAGAUGAGCGCCGCACCCCAUAGUCACCUUUGACUGGACUUAACUGUCCAGGGGUCCUUUGCCUUUACAUAAGCAAGGGAUCAGGCAGGUAGCCUGAUUUCCAUAGAAACAUUCCUAUGCUUCCUCAUUCCCCAGUGUCCAUGCUGUCUGUCAAAAAACAACAACAACCCCCCACCAAAAUCCACCAACCUUGAUUUCUAUCUUGUACAGCUAUGUCUAUUAUAUUCUUCUGAAAGGAACCACACAAAAAUCACAACCCACAGAGAUAUUGCAGGAUUUCUGUUAAUAAAAGCUAUUGAACUGUGGAAUAGUAUUUCCUGGAGAAGAUUCUUAAAAUUGGAAGCCAAAUGUUCUUGAUAUAUACCCCUAAAUAAUAACAGCUGAUUUUAUCUAUUUCACAUUUUGCAGGAAGGCAUGUAUGAAAUAGUAUACAUAGCAAGGACAAGAUACACAUCAACACUCCACUUUUCAAAACCAGAACCAGCUCACACAGAAGAGGAGGAAUAAUGCUGAAUCCUUGUUUAUUUUCUACUUCACUAACCUUUGCUGAGCAGCAACACGAUUCUACAUCAUUUGAGUUUGUUUUAUUCUGAGACCUACACAAUGUUUCUGCCCAAAUUCAUAUUCAUGCAUACCUAGCCUUAUGUACAUUUCUGCUAGAACUGUUUAUAUGAGCUAGGUUACUCAAGGGAUUAUCAUCUGCAAAGGAACACUGAGCAUAAUGCUAUUAUUUGGCAUAUUAUUUUUUUGGUGCAUAAUGAAAUACUCAUAAGCCAUCUCCUAAAGGUCAAUAAUGGAUCAUUUGACCUGGCGGUGAGGAGCAAUACUAUGGAAAGAAGAAUUAACCCUGGAACAAAACAAAACACAGUCCUGCAAAGGGAUGCCUCACUCUUAAUUCCCUCCCCCUGAAGACCUAUUAAAAUGGUAUCUCAUUGAGAUGGUUGGAGCUGCAUCUAGGAGAGCACCCAGGACUUUGCCAAGAAUGCCUUCAGUGCCCAUUAUCCAUAAAGGUAAACAAAAUAGAUGGCUUGGAGGCAGAUUGAAAGCAAACAAAAACAAAGGCUUCAUUAUACACAGGAAAGCAGGAGUCCCUUGUGAGCAGACUCUGUAACUUUGAAAUGUAAAUUCUAAUGCCCAAUGCCUCCUUGUUAGUCAGAAAUUUCUGUUUAUUGCAUUUUUUAGUAGGUACGGCUGGUGUACAUGGUGUUUUUUUUUUAGGCAUCAUGCUAACCCUCAAACAUAGAGCAAGUUGAAAGAAUGUCUGUCCCAGAGUCACCUCAUCUGAAUUUAGGUCUUUCUGCUUUAAGUCCAACACUCUAACCAUUAUACACUCCUGCUUCUGCAUCUACCAGCAUAAUGUCAGCUUCCUUACAUCCAGUGUGCAGCAGUUGUCCUAACCCUCAUGCCUAUCUUUUGAUCAAGGGCUGCUUCAUUUACUUCCUUGACUAACUGAAUGAUGAUAGAUAUUUAGAUAGGUAUUCAGAAGGAAAUCUAUAUAGAGGAGAUUAAUCUUACCCCCACUCAGCCUUGAAGCUGACUGUAUGACCUUGGUCUGGUCUUUUCUCUUUCAGCCUAACAUACAAACAGCCUGCCAGGGUAUUGGUUGGCCGCGAUGGGGCAAAAUUUGCUCAGCCACCCUGAGCUCCUUAGUGGAAGACCAGGAUAGAAAUAUAAUUAAAUAAAUAAAUAAACCCAAUUGGCCUUUAAGGAAGCAAAGUAAAAUAAGAACAAUGUUAAACGUUUUCCUUCCCCUCUAACUAGAGUUAAAAAGUAAAGGUACCCCUGCCCGUACGGGCCAGUCGUGUCCGACUCUAGGGUUGUGCGCCCAUUUCACUUAAGAGGCCGAGGGCCAGCGCUGUCCGCAGACACUUCCGGGUCACGUGGCCAGCGUGACGAAGCUGCUCUGGCGAGCCAGCGCAGCACACGGAAACGCCGUUUACCUUCCCGCUAUAAAGCAGUACCUAUUUAUCUACUUGCACUUAGGGGUGCUUUCGAACUGCUAGGUGGGCAGGAGCUGGGACCGAACGAUGGGAGCUCACCCCGCCGCGGGGAUUCGAACCGCCGACCAUGCGAUCGGAAAGCCCUAGGCGCUGAGGUUUUACCCACAGCGCCACCCGCGUCCCUACCUAACUAGAGUUAGGAGCAUCCCAAAUCCAGAGAUUUCAGGGCCCCAAACCUGAGACCUAGGGGAAUCUGGUGAUGUCAUUAAACAUCCUGGUGAUGUCAUUAAACAUGCCAGCUGCUGAGAGCAUGUCAUUCCGAUCAAAAGCACAGUCUGGAAAUUGAGCAAAAGUGUCACUGGUUGAAAUUCAAGACAAAAACCUUAUCUAAAGCAGGUGUGCCUAGAUCCAGCUGAAGUGAGGAGGCGAUUGACUUGCUUAGGGAGCCUGGGUAGGAAACAUUUAAUCUAGCCUAUUUGCUUCCCCAAAUCUCCCCCAAACUGCCACUGUGCCCAUUGUAUAACACUGGUAAAAAAGUAUGGUAACAUUUGCUUUUGCACACUUUUCUAAUGGUGCUCAUGCACAGGUACCAAAAUAGAUAGCUGGAGGAAUGAUUGCAGGGAAGGACACACACAGCGUCCCCUCUCCUGUCCGUAUAUCAAUCUCUGCUUUGAUGGUAUAUUCCAUCAAAGCAGUGGAAUAGCAAUGAAUAUCCAAGACUAGGAUGGGGUGGGGUGUAGAAGCUGAUAUGCCAAAUGUGCAGACAGAAUAAUUGGGUCUUUAUGACCUGUUUGUGAUAUGACUCCACCCCACCGCCCAAUCUGGAAGCACCCUAAAAUUACAAAAGCAUUUCCAGAAAACCAUUUGGAUAGCUAGCAAUGCACACAUUUAUUGAGCGUGAUCCAGCCAAAGGCAAAUGAGACUUGCUCUAUUGAUUUCUGCUGAGAGAUUUAUGCAUGUACUUGACUCUCUCCAUUGAAAUCAAUGGGAUGUAGUCGUGCUUACAUUUCACAGAAUCACAUAAUUGUAGAGUUGGAAGGGACCCCCAUGGAUCAUCUCGCCAGCACUCUGCAAUGCCGGAAUCUCAGCUAAAGCAUCCAUAACACAUACCUCCAAACCUCUUCUUUAAAACCAACGAAGGAGAGUCCACAACCUCCUAAGGAAGACCAUUCCACUGUCUCUAACAGCUCUUACUGCCAAAAAGUUCUUCCUGAUGUUUAGCUGGAAUCUCCUUUCUCCUAACUUGAAGCCAUCCAGAGCAGGGAGAAAACAAGCUUGCUCCAACUUCCAUGUGACAGCACUUGAGAUAUUUGAAGAUGGCUAUCAUCCUAUCUCCUCUCAGUCUCCUCUUUUCCGACUAAACAUACCCAGCUCCUUCAACCAUUCCUCAUAAGGCUUGGUUUCCAGAUGCCUGAUCAUCUUGGUCUCUUCCUCUGCACACGUUCCAGCUUAUCAAUAUUCUUCUUAAACUGUGGUGCCCAGAACUGAACACAGUAUUCCAGCUGUGGUCUGACCAAGGCAGAAUAGAGUGGUACAAUUAUUUCCCUUGAUCUGGACUCUAUACUUGCAGUCUAGAUGCAGUCUAGAAUAGCAUUAGGCUUUUUUGCUGCUGCAUGUUGACUCUUGUGGUCCACCAAGACUCCUAGAUCCUUUUCAAAUGUCCUACUAGUAAGCCAGGUGUUCCCCAUCUUAUCUUUGUGCAGCUGGUUCUUCCUGCCUAGGUGCAGAACCUUACAAUUGUCAUUUUGUUAGUUUGGGCUCAGUUCCCCAAUCUGUUAAGGUUAUUUUGAAUCACAAUUCUGUCUUCUGCAGCGUUAGCUACCCCUCCCAGUUUAGUGUCUGCAAAUUUGAUGAGCAUCUCCUCAAUUCCUUCAUCCAAGUCAUUUAUAAAGACAUUGAACAACAAUGGCCCCAGGACAGAACCCUACAGCACCCCACUUGACACUUUUUGCCAGGACGACAAGGAACCAUUAAUGAGUACUCAUUUUGUUAAAUUGUGCCUAUUGUGUGUCUACAAAUAUACACAAGUUGAGCCCAAACAAGAUCUGCUAACUGCAAGAUUCUUGCAGCAGCUACUUACAGGUUUAUAGGCUUCUCUGAGAGUUAUACAUAUAAAGCCAUUCACACAAUAUGUUAGAAGUGAAUUGUAUUAAAAAAAAAAAAAGGUGAAAUGGAGUUUUAGAUAUCUUUUUCUCUAAGGAUGAGAUGAGGAGGUAAAACCAGCAGAAUAGUUGAAAUGUCAUUUCCGUCUAGUGCAUUUAAAUGUGUUAGGGCAGAUUAAAUGUGUUAGGGCAGAUUAAAAGUUUGGAAAACCAAGACAUUUGUAACCUGAAGAAGAAAAGCUGAAUGUUAACCCUGCUGGUAUAACACUGAAGCUCUCUUGGGAAAUUUCCGAAUCACAUAAUUGAAUCCAACCCUCCUGGGAAGGAACCCUAAUAAACUGGAGAACAGCUUGUCAGCAAGUGCUUGGACUGACUCUCCAAUGCUCAAGGCUUGGGGAAAUUACGAUAAAAGGGAUUUGCUUACAACACCAAUUACCCCACAUUCUCUCCUUGUCAGUUACCCAAAAGAAAAAAGAAAAAUGUUCUUGCACAUCGCUUCUCUUCUUGCUCACCAGAAAAGUCCUCUGUGAAGCUGCUUCAGCCAUAAAUGUGCAUCUGUGAGCGUUCAGAGGGAAAGGAGAGUACACGAGAUUAAUUAGAGGGCCUUCUUGGUAGUGGCACCCACCCUGUGGAACACCCUCCCAUCAGAUGUCAAGGAGAUGAGUAACUACAUAACCUUUAGAAGACAUCCGAAGGCAGCCCUGUAUAGUGUAAUGUUUUACAGUGGUACCUCGGGUUACAGAUGCUUCAGGUUACAGACUCCGCUAACCCAGAAAUAGUACCUCGGGUUAAGAACUUUGCUUCAGGAUGAGAACAGAAAUUGUGCAGUGGCGGCGCAGUGGCAGCUGGAGGCCCCAUUAGCUAAAGUGGUGCUUUAGGUUAAGAACAGUUUCAGGUUAAGAACAACUCCAGAACAAAUUAAGUUAAGAACUCCAGAACAAAUUAAGUUCUUAACCCGAGGUACCACUGUAUUAUGUUUUUAUAUGUGUUGGAAGCCGCCCAGAAUAGCUGGGCAAAUGAAUGACAUUAAUUGCAUUUGUGCUGGGACUGAGGCUAAGCCCUCCUGCCUACCCCCUGUGGUGGCAGGUGUCAUUCGAGACUGGUGAGGUAGAAUGCAGGGAGGACCAACAGUAGGUGGCGCCAGAGCCCAGCCUAUGGGCUUCCUGAACAAUCUGAUUGUCCGGUGUGAGAACAGGAUGCUGAAAUAGAUGGACCACUGCUUUGAUCUAACAGGGUUCUUCUUAUGUUCUUCAGUAUGCUUGAAAAUUUGUCCCUUCCAAGAGCUACAAUACCCAGAGUGGUUAAACAAUCAACCCCUCUCUUCCCAGUUUAUAAAGCACAUCAAUUGCCUCCAUGCAAUUAUCAUUGCGUGUAGCUUGGCAUGAAACAUGGCUUCUUGAAGGUAUGCCAAUCCUGGAAUGAUCAAUUGUUCUUGCAGGUCUGUUUGCAUACGAUGUUUUGAAUGUGAAUAUGACAAGCAAUAUGUGAAUCAUUUACAGCUAUAGUCGUCGGGGAGGCAUAAUUGGCUGAGGUUUUCUCAGUGCCAGAUUUGCUCAUGAGUAAUGUAUGAAGGGGCCUCUACUUGGCAAGAAUAUUGGCUGCAUCUGAUGGAUAGCUUCGAUGCUUUUCUGGAAUUCAGAUUGUAUCAGAGAUACAGAGUUGAAGAGGAAAGAGUCUUGUGGUUCAUCCACAUGCUGCACGAACUCCGCCCAGCCCUGUUCCUACUGCGCAGAGUUGUCUGGUGUGACAUUUUUAGCUCUGCGCAUUCGCCGCUUUGCAAGAGGCCUCUCCUGAUCCUGGAGGCAGGAUUUGAGAAUCUGGGGGAACUUCUGUGUGAAGCAGAACCACGUGGGGCAUGUGUGGACAGUGGGGGCAGGACUGGAGAGAAGUUAUGUCCCAUGGUGGUGGGGCAAUAAACAUGGCCCCACAGCCCUUCUCAAGUCACUUCUCCUCUUUACAUGAGUUGUAUGAUGAGGGCUAAUGAGUUGGCUCUAAUACUACGUAAGUUACAAAAAUGGAAAGGAAGGGUAGAGGGUGGUGUAUUUUAUUAAUCCAGUUUUUUCCAAGGGCCUCACAAAGCAAUCCUACACACAUCUAAUCAGAAAUAAGCCCUAUUGAGUUCAUAACAGAUUGCUGGUUCAAUUACUUGAGUCCCCCGCAGUCUUCUGAACUGUUUUCACGAUUUUUUUUAAAAACUGCUUUAAUUGUCAUGCUUUUGAACAGUUCUAUUGUAUAUUUUAAUGUAGGAUGUUUAUAGUCCGAUGGAAUUGUUAUUGUGUAUCUUAACUCACAGUGUGGAUUUAUAAUUGAUUUUACAGUUGUAAGCCGCUGAAAAGCCAUCUUGGCAUAUAACCACUGUAUAGGUUUGAUAGUGACAGCAGCAGCAACAACAACAAAGAAAUAAAAACAGCAACAGUAAGAAAACAACAACACAAAAGCUGCUUACUUGUACAGUGGUACCUCGGGUUACAUACGCUUCAGGUUACAUACGCUUCAGGUUACAGACUCCGCUAACCCAGAAAUAGUAGCUCGGGUUAAGAACUUUGCUUCAGGAUGAGAACAGAAAUCGUGCUCCAGCGGCGUGGCGGUAGCAGGAGGCCCCAUUAGCUAAAGUGGUGCUUCAGGUUAAGAACAGUUUCAGGUUAAGAACAGACCUCUGGAACGAAUUAAAUACUUAACCCGAGGUACCACCGUAUUGCCAAAUUCUUCUUAAAUAGGCUUGUGAACCACAUGCUCAGUACAGUGCUACCUCUGGUUGCAAAUGGGAUCUGUUCUGGAGGUCCAGCCACAUCCUGAGGAAUUCACAACCAGAGGACUGUCCCUGUGCAUGUGCAUGCAGCAAAACCCGGAAAAAUACUUCCGGGUUUGCCGCGUUCGCAUCCCAAAAUUUACAUCCAAAAUUUACAUAAGCAGAGGUACGGCUGUACUUCGGUACUUCUUAGAUGGCAAGAUGGUAGUGGUGAGGUUUCUGCAUCUUGUCUUUCAGUCGGAACCAGACCCACAAGUCAACCUGCAAUAACAACACUAGAAAAUAAUAUUUCAAUACCACUGAUAAAGAGCUUUUUUAAAAAGAACAACUCUUGCCUUAUUUUUUAUUAUGCUUUGUUUUCUGCAUCCUUUUGUUUUUAUUUGUGAAAUUGAUAAGUCAUAUAUAUAUAUUUUCUUACAAAGGUAUUUCUGAAGGUUGACAGUUACAGAGAGUCAUCCCUAGAGUGAGGUUUAGAUGAGAGAGAUUAGAGGUUAUGUUUUUCUGCUAGUGUGUAGCAUUCAGAAAAGAAGAAAAAAACAGAACACAGCUGCUUAUAUUCAGAAUAUACAAUAACUUCACUGUAUUGUUUCCAGCACCUCAAAAACUUUUUUGUUUAGGCAAUCCUACCCAGACAUAUAAUUUUAACCCAAGAUUUUUAAGUAUAAUUUUAUUGUGUAUAUUUGUUUUAAACUAGCUUAUUUUGUUUGUCUUUUAAUAAAUGUUAUAUUAAUUCAUUUUAAAAAUGUUUCAUAUUACCAGUAAUUUUAAAUGAAUGUUAUAUAUUGUUAAAUGUAACACACUUUUUUGCUAUUUAAGUGGUAUAUGCAGUGCUUUUUUCUGGGGGUAUGCAGGGGUACACAUACGCCUAAAAUUUUUGUGAAUAUCUGUCCAUUUACUGUAUUUAUAAAAUGGUGAUUCUCUUGAGUAAAAAUGACUACCCCUAAACAUUUUUUUAGUAAAAAAAAGCACUGGGUAUAUGAAUCUUGUCAAGCAAGCAAACAAAUAUUUCGGUAGAACUGAACUCCACUUUCUUCAAAUUCUAGCUAAUUCCAAGGCUGUGGGACUGAUUAAAGGUAAAGGUAAAGGUACCCCUGCCCGUACGGGCCAGUCGUGUCCGACUCUAGGGCUGUGCGCCCAUCUCACUUAAGAGGCCGGGGGCCAGUGCUGUCUGGAGACGCUUCCGGGUCACGUGGCCAGCGUGACAAGCUGCAUCUGGCGAGCCAGCGCAGCACACGGAACGCUGUUUACCUUCCCGCCGGAGCGGUCCCUAUUUAUCUACUUGCACCCGGGGGUGCUUUCGAACUGCUAGGUUGGCAGGUGCUGGGACCGAGCAACGGGAGCGCACCCCGCCGCGGGGAUUCGAACCGCCGACCUGACAAUUGGCAAGUCCUAGGCGCUGAGGUUUUACCCACAGCGCCACCCGCGUGGGACUGAUUACUUUUGAUAAAACCAGGCGGUUUUUUGUGUGCAUUUAUUCCACAAAAUGAAAAAUCUGUAUUUCAUAUUUUGCAGGCUGCUUAUGAAACAAUUAAUACCAUGACCGUUUGUACACUGUUUUUCAUUCUGUUGGUUCCCUCAUUCUGAUUUUGUUUUGCCUAUGGAUGGGGUGAGCAUUCAAAGAACUCCCUGCUUAAAUUACAGUGAACAGAUCAAGGUCAGCCGAAGGAUGAGUAAUUCUGCCUUUUUUUGGUUUCUCUCAGUUUCCCCUUUUUCCAAACUUCGGUUCAGUUCUCCACACCCCCACAGCAGUUUUCAUUAUUUUUCUUUUUAAAAAGCCCCCAUGAAACUUCAUCCACAGUUUUCAAAUAGCUCGGCCCUAAGUCGUGUAGGGCUUUAUAGAUCUUAAUCAGCACUCUGAAUUGUGAGCAGAAACAAACUUGUAGCCAGUACAGCUGUUCUAAUAAGGGAGUUAGUUGUUUGCUCCCUAUAACCAGUCCUGGUGAGCAAGUGGGCUGCAUCUCUUUGAACCAGAUGAAGUUUCUGAGCACUUUUCAAAGGCAGCCCCACAGAGAGCAACGUUGGGCCUGAGAUGUACAUGAUACACAGUUGCUGUUCAGCACAAGUAAUAGCAAAGAUGCAAAGAUGCUUUUCUCGUCUCUUAAUGAUUUCUGUUCGGAAACUGCAUAUCAUGCAUUAAGCCAUUUUGCCUGGAGUUGAAGCUUUGUUUUGAAUUCUCUCCAGUGAAAUAUUUGCCACUGGCAAUCGCUUUAAUACAAUAUUAGCAUAGCCAACUCUUCCCAUGUGGCAUGUUUCAGCGUAUAAUAUUAAUUCGCCAGUUGGUAAUGCACUAGUUUUAGCAAUCUCCUGUGAUCUCCUUAAUUACAGAGCAGUCGGCAAUCAUCACUCAUCAUCUUUAUCACUUUAUGAGUUUUAUUUGUAUGUUUGGCCAUCCAUCCGUCAUAACAUUGGUUUGAAAAUGUGGGAGAGGGGGGUGAGAACAUUUUUUAAAUUUUAUUUUUACUCGAGUAUAACAGUCAUAUUCUACAUAUACCAGCAAAGAAAACAUUCCUAUUUAUUGUAUUCAGUUUUGACAUUACAAACCAUUCAUCCAUCAAAUUCCUCAGAUGUAUUCGCACACCAAAACAAUCACCUCGAAUGUAUUCAUUAUGUCUGAACCAGUUUCAAUGAACACAGUGCCUUAUAAUUCUUAUAAGAAAAUAAAAGGAGCCCUGCCUGCUAGACAAAACCGCUAUGUUCUCCGUCCACUGUUGGAAUUGGAUUGCUUCUGGGAAACACAAAGGGGGAGAAAGCUGUCACACUCAGGACCUGCUUAUAGGCUUCCCAUGAACACCUGGUUUACCACUGUGAGAAUGGACUACAUGGACCACGGCCCUGAGUCAGCAAGGCUCUUCUACCAUUCUUAAGCAAAUACACAGCUGGCAUUUUUGCAUACUGUGCUUCCUGUUUAAUAUUAUCACACCCCCUUCACACAAGGGUCAACAGUGUGUUGAGGACCUAGUACAUGUUUGCCGUCCCCACGCCCAACAUCUCCCACCCCACACUAGGCAUGCCCCCUCCACCCCACAGCAUUUGAAAGGUCUUAAGGGGCCUCCUAGGGACGAGGGUGGUGCUGUGGGUUAAACCAGAGAGCCUAGGAGUUGCCAAUCAUAAGGUCGGCAGUUCAAAUACCUGCAAUGGGGUGAGCUCCCAUUGCUCGGUCUCUGAUCCUGCCAACCUAGCAGUUCAAAAGCACAUCAAAGUGCAAGUAGAUAAAGGUAGAUAAAGGCAGGAAGGUAAACAGAUUUCCAUGCGCUGCUCUGGUUCGCCAGAAGCGGCUUAGUCAUGCUGGCCACAUGACCCAGAAGCUGCCCGCCGGCUCCUUCAGCCAAUAAAGCGAGAUGAGCACCGCAACUCCAGAGUCGGCCACAACUGGACCUAAUGGUCAGGGGUCCCUUUAUCUUUACCUUAAGGGGCCUCCUAACUACUGUUAGCUAAAUGCCGUUAGAAGCCUUGCAGAGAACAGGAAGCCUGAUAAAACAGGAUUCCUGAUCAUGUGGAGGCUUCUAACUGCACAGUUAGAACCCUGUUUCAGUCGUUUAGCAACAAAGGAAGCUUCUUUAUAGUGAGUCGUAUCACUGGUCCAUCUUCUUGCAGAUAUUAAUACUGUGCAGAUUGAAGUGACUGGAUGUAUAAAAAUUGACUCCUUUUGGAAUAAAGCAUUGUCCAGACUCAUAAGCUUGAUUCAAGUUUAACUUGCAGAAUUUUCUUCAAAACAGAAUAAAACAUCAAAUAUACAUCCAAAUAAUUCCAUACAAUAUAUUGUGCAUGUCCAGCUGAGGCUCAGCAUCUUAUAGGAAAUAAAAGAUAAUUCCAAACAGACCUAGAAGCAAACGUCUCUCUUUCUACAACCUCCAUUUUGCCUGGAGUUGUAUUCAUUCUCUGGAGAGGGUCGUUUACACAUCCCACAGAGCCUGUGAACAAAAGAACUAAAGGCAACUCCCUUUCAAAAUAGUGAUUUGCAGUUCAAGACCUUAAUCACCUGAUUUAAGGUUAAACACUACGGUCAGAGCUAGCAGAGAUCAAUAACUAAUUAUCAACUUAUCUAAGUGCUUAGAGAGAGCUCUUCUUGAGCUUCAAUGGAAUCUUCCAGGUAAAUCCUUGCAACAAUACACACACAGGCAUUCUCAAUUUCAGUGUGAAUUAAACAAUUAUGCUUCACACAUAUACCCCAAUAUUGUCAGCACUGACUGGCAGUGGUUGUCCAGAAUUUCUAAUGGGGACAUUCCCGGUCCUACUUAGAGAUGCUGGUGACUUGGGACAUUCUAUAUGCAAAGCAGAUGUUCUUUGAGGAAGCUACAGUCCUCCUAUGUUUGCACUAAACACAUGAAGAGUUGGGUGGAGGGGUGAACCCAGCAUGCAGUGGACAUAGGGGUGUGCCUCUCCAGAAGCACUAAGCCCUUGAGUGAUCAGGCUGAAGGCCUGAAGAGUGCUGUUUGGUCUAUUAUAUUCAGCCCAUGUUCCCUCUACGAGCGUUCUUGUUGCAGUUUUCUGUUUAGUUAUUACCUGUCUUAGGAUGUGAUAUCAAGCCAGCUUGUAGGGAUGCAGAGCUGUCAGUAUAAGAUUAUUCCAAUGUACAGUCCCUGAAAAAAUAAAUGGCAAGAGCUGUAAACUGAAGAAAAUUGUGAUUUUAUCAUGCCUCCAGUACCCAUUAAGCUCAACAGUUUCAGCCAUUUGAAAACCUUAUGUGUCGUUUCUGUAGCAUGUAAGUGUUUUAUUACCCAUAAUAAAAACCCACCAUUUAAAAGUGAUCACUGUUAUACCCAUUCCAACAUGGCUAAAUCAACAUUUCAGAUAAAUUUGCUUGUCUAUUUUAAGCUGCCAGUUCCUAAUAAGACUACAUAGCUUAUGGGUUCUCCUCAUGGACAUUUGUUGUCAUUCCUUUCUUUUAGAAUGGGAUCAGAGCAGCUGACCAAUGCUGAAAACAAUAAUCUAAAAUAUGAAUCGAGAGCCGUCAUUGUUUUAAAAGUGGCAGCAAAAAUGCAACCCCAAAAGCAGUGGCUCAUGGAAAUAUAGAGCCAUUUUUGCUGCUUAACUAAAACUGACAAAUGGUGGAGACACAUUGUGCCCAUCUAGGGAGGUUGUGUCAAUUUCUAGGGGCCACAACCAAAAAGGUCCUAUAUCUGGUUCUAUAGCGCAUAUCAUCUGCAUCUGGAAACAAAUUAUUUGUCCCAAAUUAGAGUCUCCCAAGAAGAGCAUACUGAGUUCAGCAUUAGCAAAGAAUGCACCACUCCAAAAGUUGGAAACUUUGCUGCACAUAGAGGAAAAUCUGUGCAGAACAUUUCCUUAAACUAGAGGGAGUAGAUCAGCCCCACCUCUUACAGACUUCCAAGUACGUAUAUGCCAAGAUGGAUUCAGCAUUGUCAAACUGCAGCAAGGAUAAAGCAAAAGGAAGAAAUAUCCUAAUAUGCCUCUGUUAGCACAGUUCCUUCCUCCAAUCAGUGAUGGAGUUGUGCAUUGCUAUGUCAGGAGAGCAAAUUCUGUUUGAUAUGAGUCACUUUCCCUCAUGACAUGUGCAGCCUGCUGCUUCCCACACUGUCAGAUUCAUGGCACGGAUUUGAUGCCAAGUCUUUUAAGGACAUUUGAUGAGCAAAUAUGUCUCGCUGCAGGAAAGCAUUUCAAACCUGCCAUGUUUAUAAUCACUAAUGAGUAUUUCACUGACUUCAAAAGUUAGGGCUGUAAUAUUGCCCAGGAGUUAAUUCCUUACUUAUUCAAAGCCCAGUCAUUAAUAUUUUAUUGAAUGAUUGAUUGAAUUUACAUACCGCCCUAUACCCAGACACCCCCAACUUUCCGUAUCAUAAGAGUUAACAACAGCAUUUUAUUACAAAGAUACAAGUAUUCUGUGUAGAUCAUAUUUAAACAGAAGUCAUUAUGUAUUAUGCUAACUUAUGAACUUACCUAUUACUGAUAUUUUAUGUGUUCUAUUAAUCUGUUCAUAAUGAAUUAUUCCACUGGUUGCAUAUAAAAUACAACAAAAGUGAAAUUUAUUUGUCCUGUGUCAAUUGGACUCCACUGCUUCGGCAUGCUCUGGGCAGUGUCUUUUCCAUCCUGUUGGGACUAUUGGUUGCUCUCUGAUAUUUCUCUAAUAAAUUAUCUUUCCUCAAAAGCACAGCUCCUAGUCAAGAGAACUUACUCUGAAAUCUGACAUAGGUCUUUCUGGAAGUAAAAACCACUUAAUGCCAAGUAAAUGUGUACAGGUGUGUGGAUAAUGUCAUUAUAUGAUUUAGUCCCUAUAUGGCAGUAGACUUAAGUUUUUAGAUGGGCUUUCUGCUCAUGUGUCAAUCUGUCAGGAGUCCAGAUUCCCAGCUUGAUAACACAGUAAGUGUGGGUAAUUAAAAAGGAGGAUUUAUUGCAAAAACAGAUACCUCCGGACAGCUCUAAUGCAGCCGCUGGCAUUAUCACUCAAGAUGUCCCUUCUGAAGACUGCUUCCUGUGUCUACAGAAUAUAUUGAACUUUCGCACCUUACGUCUCUUGUUUUGCUUCCUGUCUUGCAACCCACCCAUUUGCUGACUCCGAGGACUUAUUGGAUCAUCUCCCUUCUCUUCCUUUUCCGAGAGACUCUCUCUAUUUGAGCUUCCGGAGAGCUUUGACUAUGUUCUAGCCUGCUCUCAGCUAUGGCCUUAUCAGCAUGCCUGUAAAGGUCAGGAAGAGCUGAAUUCUGCAGCUGCCAGCUCUCCCCUGCCUGCCUGACAUCAAAACCUCUCUGUUCCUGGCUGCUUUAUGCAGUUGGCUGCAAACAUCCACUAGGAGCUGGCUCAUUCCUGACACAAUCCUACAUGAGAGCAAGGUGAGCUGUGAUGAGCAUACUAAGCUCCCCUCCCCAUCUCACGGAGUCCGUCACCCGGCGAGUUGCGAUGGGUGAAGUGCAAAGCAGAGAGCUCCCUCUACUCACAGAGUCUCUCAUACCAUUUUGAAUCCUGACUUUACAGGCUUCUAAAUCACGCGAGGGACCUCCACAAGUAAACAAGGCUCUCUGCUUAAGACUUCACCCUCCAAGAGUUGGCGGGCAAGGAGGAUAGUGGCAUGGGGGAAUGUUUGUGCACUCAUCCCCUCUCACUUGUACACAUGAGCAGAAUGCUAAAAAAUUAGGGCUUUAGCUGCAUCUAGAUGGAGCCAAGAGAUUCCUACUACUGAUCUAUUAUUCAUGCAGCAAUGCCAUCCAAUUCUUAUCCAGCUUACUGAGCGAUGAGUUCUCUACAUCAGCCAGGUACAUAAUCUCCCCUCCCGCUUAUGGGUCAUUUUAAAGACCACGCCCUCUGGCUUUCUGCUCAAGUUCAUGCCCUGCAAUGUUUGCUGCCGCUGAAGAAGAAGACACAGUAAAAAUGUGUCUGGCUUACAUAUCCAAUUUCAAUUCAAAACUUUAUUGUGGUCCAAAGACCCACAAAACAAUUUCAAAAAUAGAUACAGAUACAGAUACAGAAAAUAGACAGAUGGAAGAAACCAAGGCAGUCCUUUUGUUUUAUCUAGGGCAUAAUGAUCUUUGUUUCUUAUAACCUCCGAAAGAAACUUUGCCACCGCCAGUGUAAUAUCAUUUGACCAGUCUUCCAAAAGAUAUUUAAUAUGGGAGGCUUUGGAUUUUCCCGGAAAAUUUGCCUGUAAAGAUUUGAUCAGUUUAUCCUUUGCUUGAUCAUAUUGCCCACAAUGCAGUAGGAUAGGCUUUAUACAAUCGGCGUCCUGGGAACAUAAACAAAGCCUAUUCUGACAGGGGAUGCCUCUCAGUCUGCCAGUUAGAACUUCUGAGGGAAAUACAUUUUGCAGUUGUUUAAGACAAUUGUCUUCUAAAACCAGGCUUACAUAUUGGUUUUAGAAGACAAUUGUCUGAAACAACUGCAAAAUUCUAGGCAAAUAUCACAAAGAUGUGACAUGAGCCCAGCUUAGAUCGAGAAAGAAGAAGAAGAAGAAGAAGAAGAAGAAGAAGAAGAAGAAGAAGAAGAGUUUGGAUUUGAUAUCCCGCCUUUCACUCCCCUUCAGGAGUCUCAAAGCGGCUAACAAUCUCCUUUUCCCUUCCUCCCCCACAACAAACACUCUGUGAGGUGAGUGGGGCUGAGAGACUUCAAAGAAGUGUGACUGGCCCAAGGUCACCCAGCAGCUGCAUGUGGAGGAGCGGAGACACGAACCCGGUUCCCCAGAUUACGAG
rnacentral:lncRNA from 1 species